rnacentral:lncRNA from 1 species
UCACCUGUUAGCCUGCAUUUGCAUAUAACUGUGAUGACAUUAAUAAAAGUUCCUAGUGCUACUUUUCAUCCAACAUACGCCCUGAGAUGUUGCUCUUACAUAUUGAAUAAUACUUAUAUCCGAGUACAUGGUGAGGUGUUGUGUGUGACGCUGACGAACCCUUGCUUGCAUUUUCUUCAAUACUGGCACCAUUCCUGUGUCUGUACUAUUUCCGGCCGAUCGGGGUGGAUGCCUGAUGUCAGCUAUGCUAAUGCACAAAAGUCCUUCCAAUGGCGCCAGAAACAGGUGUGUCGACGGCACCAGGAAUCCUUCUGCUACAGCUACGCCUUAAGGGACUUCCUAGGCAAGUAUGCAAAGGAUUUCCCACAUGGCCUUGGAGCCUUGCGUUGGUGUUCCCUUGAAGCGAAAAGGGUGAUGUAGCAUACUGACGCUAAGUAUUUCCCUUAGUUUGAGAACCAAGGUAUCAAUCCGGUGGAGGAGUAUCACAAGAUCCUGCACAAACACAAAAGCUUGCUCCCAACGCUAUGAAAGGGUUGUCAAUCCCUUAUAGAUUGUUUGCCAAGUGAGAACUGAAAGCAACAAAGUAACAAAAAAAAGUACAAGCGGGGGUGUAAACGAUGGAUGUGAAUAGACCCCUGGGUCGUAGUGUUUACUAGUGGCUUCUCUCAUGAAAGCAAGUAGACGGUGGGUAAACAAAUUACUGUCGAGCAAUUGAUAGAAUCGCGCAAAGUCAUGACGAUAUCUAUGAAAUGAUUAUAUCUAUAGGCAUCACGUCCAAAACAAGUAGACCGAUACUUUCUGCAUCUACUACUAUUACUCCACACGUCGACCGCUAUCCAGCAUGCAUCUAGUGUAUCUCUACUAUUAAAGGGGGAUCUGCCGUCUGUCGUGAUGAUUCGACCACGGGAGAUCCCCCGUCGGUACCAGCACAAGUUCCACCGUUUUUUUCUAUCCCUCCUUAAACCAAGCAAUUUUUUUUCAUCCCUCCUUAAACCAAACCGGUUCACCCAGGUCAAAACUUGUACCUCCCCACCUCGUAUACAAAGAGUCAGAAUCAGAACGACGGUUGGAAGACCCACGCACGCACAUCCGCCACGCCUGGUGCUGCAUCGCCUGCUCGCCUGCUCGCCGUCGAGCGCACGAGAGGAUCCCUCACCUCCAUCGCCUGGUCGCCUGCUCUACGCCUGCUGCUGCCUUGCCUGCUCGCCGCCUGCUCGCCGUCGACCGCACGAGAGGAGCCCUCGCCUCCAUCGCCUGGUCGCCUGCUCUACGCCUGGUGCUGCCUCGCCUGCUCGCCGUCGACCGCACGAGAGGAGCCCUCGCCUCCAUCGCCUGGUCGCCUGCUCGCCGCACCAGGAGAGAACCUUAACGCACGCAUGGUGCUACCUCCCUCGCCUCCAUCUCCUGGUUCUUCCUCGCCUGCUCGUCCACCGCACCAGAGGAGCCCUCGCCUCCAUCGCCUGCUCGCCGUUCACCGCACGAGGGAAGAUCUUGCCCACUCUGGUGCGCCUGGUGCUACCUCCCUCGCCUCCAUCGUCUGCCUGAAGAUGUUUUCCAGGCUGAUUCCAACAACUCAAAAAUAAAACUAAAAGGUAAUGAUGUAUUUGCUUGAGCUUCCCUUCAUGUUUCUCAAAAUAGUUCAAAACGGAGGACAAAUAAAGAUGGCAAGAUCCAUGAAAAGGAUCCAUAUUUAGGUACUUAAGCAAGAUAUUCAAUCAAACCCCCUAUAUAAAGCAAACAAAACCAGACAUUGUUUACCAGUAGACUUCUGGUCAUGUUUGGACUGUUCGGUUAAAAUCAAGGCCAUUAGCAAGAACAUAGAGGGAAAACAAGCAUAAACUUGGAUUGGAAGGGAAUGAUUUUUAUCAUUUUUCUACAGACCAAAUUGUUCAAUUCAACCCGCUAUGCAGAGCAAACAAAUAUUAUAAAUAAACUGACAAAUUGACAAAUUGUGUAUAAACUGACAAAAUAGUUCAGGGAAAGAGGGUAUAUUAACAGGGUUAAAUCUUUAGAUUUGAGUUCGGUGAUGAAUCAACGCACCCAGGACAGCCUGUUGGGAUUUGUCCUCCCGUGAGUUGUUCCACUAUUGUGUACUUCCCGUGCGUUGAUUUUAUGGGAUUUUCAUAAUUUUGAGUUUGGAGAUUUGAUCUAGACAAAUGAAUCAACACACGGAGAUGAGACUUAAGAUCUAAUCAACGCACGGGAAGAUUAUAAUUGCAAAUAUAUUCAACAUUAUUUGCACUUUAUUUGCAAAUCUAAUCAACGCACGGGAAGCCUUAAGAUCUAGACAAAUGAAUCAACAUUAUUUGCACUUUCCUGCAAAUAUAUUUGCAGAAAAGUGAAGAUGAUGUGCAGGUAUAUUUUGUUAUCUCAUCAACGCACGGGAAUAACGAUUACCUAAUCAGCUUCUCUAGAAAUAACGAUUACCUAAUCAGUAAAACUGGAUAUUGAUCAGCUUCAAAUAAUAUAUAUUCUCUAUGUGAAAAAAAGCNNNNNNNNNNNNNNNNNNNNNNNNNNNNNNNNNNNNNNNNNNNNNNNNNNNNNNNNNNNNNNNNNNNNNNNNNNNNNNNNNNNNNNNNNNNNNNNNNNNNNNNAAGGAAAAGGAGUAAAACACAUGAAUAUUAUUAGAUCUUAAAUUUGGGCUAGGGACUUAGGAAAUAGCAUGGCCCCUUUUUUUAUUGACAAUGUGAAAAACUCAAAAACUGGAUCACUAGAUGCGAAUUAGGAAUAUAGCACAACUGGAAAAAUUUGAAACCUUUUGCCCUUUGGUCUAGCACAUAGUAAAAUUAGAACCAUCACAGAAUGCGAGCAAGCUUAUGAUCUGCUGCCAGAGUUCUUCAGCCUCUUUGGUACGCCCCCGCUAUAAUAGAGCAAGCUUAUGACUAGCACAUAGCAAAUUGUUCAAUUCAACCCGCUAUACAGAGCCAACAAAUAUCCUAAAUAAACUGACAAAUUGACAAAUUGUGUAUAAACUGACAAAUAUUCUAAAUACGACUCCAUACAAAUGAGUGAAGACAAAUGAGGGAAGCAUCAUUACCUUGUCAAGACUUCCAAAUUUAAGAGAUAGAAUAUAUUUCCACGCCCAUCGUCUAGCAACCUAGCUAGCUUGAAUAAAAUUAUAGUGGAUUGCUGUCGUGCUGAUGCGCUAUACAGAGCCAACAAAACCCACCAUUGUGUAUCAGUAGACUUCCGGUGAUGUUUGGACUGAUUGGUUAAAAUCAAGAUCAUCAGCAAAAACAUGGAAUCAAAACGAAUGAUCAAAUGAUUGCAAAUCAAAUAUCAUUUUUAUUACAGAAUAUUUAUCGAUUUUGCUACUCGUUUCUGUAUAAACUUGCAACCAGUAGUGUAUCAACUUUGUUUUCUUCCUCCAGUUCAGCUACUAACAGAAAUAUUAGAUAGAGGCCAUAUGAAACAAGAAAAUGCUACCAGGAAGUAUGGAAAAAGGAGGAUCGACUCUUCAAACAAAAAAUCCCUUUGGGCUACUCGUAUGCAUCUUCUAGCAUUUCAAAGAAAAAAACAUGCAUCUUCUUAUUUUUCUUUAUUACCGCUCCUUGCAUAAAAUAAGACUGCUACAACAGGUGCUAUAUACUUGAGUUACUCUAUGUGCUAAAAGAUGCAUUUUCUUAAAUAUUGGAACAACUGUACGGACUCUGCAGUGCAACCUUGUGACUGUGGAAGUGGGGAGUAAAGCUCAAAUAACAUCUGUGCAUAUCGUAUGCCUAUAAGGAUAAGAAAGAGGCAUGAGAAGUUGAGAACUGUGAUGUUUCUCAGCAAAGCAGCAAGUUAUAAUGAGGCAUAAAUGCAUAAAUGACAUUCACGUGCAUCUCAUUGAUUUCUAUAUAUAAUUAGUAAUCCAUGCCAUGGCACCAAUUCUCUUUGGUAUAAAAAAGGCAACAAUCUUAACAAUUUCCAAUAGAGACCAGCACAUGAACCAAUAAAGUCGGAGUGGUGAACUUACGUCAUACUGUGUUGGGCAAAGUCGUGUAGCUUCAGCAUACUUCUUGCAAGCCUCCUCAAGUAAUGAAUCUUUUGAAGAAUCAGAGUUAGGAUCCACAUUAUCUGCACUUUCCUGCAAAUAUAUUCGAAAAGGUUAAAAUAUGACUUUCGCAAUGUUAGUUUUACUAGCAUCCUUUAAGCAACAGAAUAAAUGAAGCCAUGAAAAUAAGGAAUGCAUUUUUACCUGGAGAACUAGGGCCCAGUUAUAAUAUGCAUCAGGGUCUUCUGGAUUUCUUUCAAUGGCGCUAAUAUAUCUGCAAAACGUACCUUUAGAGAACAUGCAAAGUUUGAGCUACCUAUAAUAUUACUACAAGGCUGGGUUAUAAUCAGAUGAGACAAACCAAGACCUUUUGGCUGCGAAGGUAAGAAUACGUUGGCGAGAGCAACCUUCCUCAUCAACCCCAGUGACACUAUUUAUCAAGUCCAUGGCAACAUCAUGAUGGGUUGAGAGUUGUAGGUUGUCCUGCCUGAAAUGGACAAAUGAAAGAGUUGUAUAACUUGCCUUUAUCAUAGCUAAUUUGAGAAUAUAUGAAUGACCUAAGUUUACUUCAUAUAUGGUCUAUGAGGAACUUGCUUUAGUUACCUUCUGAUUCCUUCAAGAGGUGCUAGGAGCCAUUCCGCUGUAAUUUCACGAGGUCAAGUAGAUUUUUUAUUCACAAAGUGGCAUGCUCUUUAGUCUAAUUACUUAUUGCACAAGAGUGCAUUCAUCAUUCAUCAUAUUUUAACAUUUUCUUAUUGCAAAAUAAUGCAGUUUUAAUGAAUAACAUAUAGCGGUCGAAGAUGACACGGGAAAGCGGAAAUCUGUAUGAUAAAGGAAAAGGAGGUAUGUCUAUGCCAAUCAGAUGUUUGCAUAUAAGGUAUACUUUAAUAUUACACAACUUAUCCUACAUUUAAUUAUUAUUAGUUCUUGAAUAUGAGAGGACACCGAGGCGACAACCCACCAUUACCCACCAACCACUGUCUGGUUUUUUCAUACGCGACCAAACGGACACUACUAACAACAGUGUUUCGUCUUCCGACGAUGAUGACAAUCUUCCGACCCAGCUCCUUAUGAUGGUUCCCAUAGCCGGCAACCUCACGGCCUUUCAGCCAGUGCAGCAUGUCGAAACCCCAAGUGGUAUCGCCCUUACGCACUCACAUCUUUUCCGUUAGCAGUGUUACAUUUCUUAACAAAAGUGGUCCAUAAAAUGGAUCUUCAGGAAAUCAUUCUCGUGAAGCCACCUACAAUGAUCAUCAUGCAUCACUUGGAGGAACACAUAGCACCACUGAGCAUGAUAUUGUUUCAUAUAUAGCACCAACGCUCAACACCUCACAAACUAGUCCUCAACAACUUCCUUCAAGCGCAGUCAUUACAUCAGACAAAAAACAGAAAAGGCGAGAGCAAUAUAUAGCUCGGCGAAAUAUGUUAACACCUGAACAGAAGGAUGAAAUCAAUGCACGUCGCAGAGCAGCUAGGAAAAAAAAAACAGAUGAGGAGAGAAAUUCCCGUCAAAGAGAAGCCAGGCAACAUAUCACAUCAGAGGAGGAGGAACAGAGUAACGCACUUAGAAGGGCGGCCUACCAAAAUAUGUCGGUCGAGAACAUGCAAGAUAGGAAUAGCUAUGCAAGGGCCAUGUACCAAAAUAUGACCGCCGACGAGAAGCAAGACACAAACUCCCGCCGAAGAGCACGUGCGAAAAACAUGUCACCUGAAGAGAAGCAGAAUAUGCGAGCUCGGCGAAACGCAAAACUCGCGGCUAGGCGCAACACCCCUUGCAUUGAAUCCAUAGCAAUGUCGUGACCAGAUGCAUCUAACUUAGCUGGCCCCAACCAGAUGUUGACCGCUCAUCCGUUCGUAGUCGGAGAACCCGUCGCUUCAUGUCAUGCCCCCGGGCCAGCAAGUAAGGCUGGUCACGGCUUGGAAUCAGACGGUAAUCCCCCCAUAUUUACACUACUUGAUAUGUCCAUGUGUGUUCAACCAGUAUUUACUAGCUACCUAACGGUGCAGGCGAGUACCUUAGUCGUACCCUGGGCGAUGGAGAUCAACAGGAGGAGCACAUAAAUGCGUCACAGCAAAGCAAUGAUUAGCGAAUAUACGAGAACCAGAAUCAUGCCCAUGAGCAGAGGCAUGAGACCAGAGCACAUCGUAGGGCUAAGCAGCGAGCUAACAAAGAAGGUAUGAAUGUAAAGAAGAUUCAAGGGAAUGCCGUAAAACGAACGGCGCGUCGGAAGAACAUACCAGAAGGUAAGAAGUCAGCAUCGCUAGAUCAUCGUAAUGCAAGCUUUGAAGCUAAGCGAAGGACUCCCCGCCAAGAUGAAAGUACCUUAGAUGUGAACAAAUCAGCAACAAGCUCAUCUUCAUCACCCACAGUAGCUGCUUCACUGGCUUCCCCCCCUUCAUCAAGCACGCCGUCUUACACCAGAGGGACCGAUGGUAACCCUAUCAUCUUUACUAUCCACCAUGUCACGAGUCACACUAAACCUUCCUCCCCCUUCAUCAAGCACGUCGUCUUACCGGCUCAACAAUGUUGCAGCUGAUAUGGAAGCCUUCCUCAGCGGCAUAAUGGACGAUAGUGCACUCUCCGAUGGCCUCAUGGAUGAUGCGUACUACCUGUUUGCCGGUGAAGGUACUCUGAGGCGCCUUUCGCUUCUCGUCCCUGUAUACUACUCAUUUUGCAUGUGAAUUGUAUCAUGACAUGUUAUGUCUCGACAAUGCUUGCAGGAUACGACACUGAUGGCACGGACAUCGAUCAGCCCGUGGACUCCUCCGAAACGGGACCUAUCGACCUUGGUCCUUUUGACUAUGUCUACUCCAACAUCCCAGACAGCACGCACAUCCUAAAGCAUGCGACAAACUGCGACCAUUGCAUAGCCAAGAAGUUCUAGUACGAGACGGAUGGCUUCUGCUGUCGAAACGGGGAAAUAGAGUUGGCUGAACCAGAGCCUAUUCCAAAGCUGAUGAGGUUAUGGUCUAGCGCAGAUUCAGACUCUCGGCUCUUCCGGGAGAGCAUUCGGUUCUUCAACGGUCACUUCUCCUUCACUACCCUUGGCGUCAGCCUAGACGACAACUAUGCGAACAUGAAGUCUGGGGUAUACACGUUUCGGGCGCAGGGCACUAUUUACCACAAAGUGCAUUCGUUCGGUCCAAUAGCUCUUCCUGGGCAUGUGCAGUUGUACUUCUAUGACGACGACCCCAACUUAAGCCAUCGCAAGGAGGCUACCAAGAAAUUGGACCAACGCGUAGUCAGCAAGUUAGUGGACAUCCUCAGGGGCAACCCCUACUCCCAACAGUUUAGAAGUUUGGGUGCCCACAAGGAAAACCUCGACGAGUACCGCAUAGACCUCAACAUUGACCAAAAGCUAGAUCAACGGAGAUAUAACAAACCUGUGUCAUCCGAGGUGGCUGCGAUUUGGGUCGAGGGAAACGAUCUAGCAAACAGGUUCAACCGCAACAUUACACUCUAUGGGGACAACAAUGAGAAGCAUAGCAUACAUGCCACAGAUGGCUGCUAUGACCCGCUCUCGUAUCCCCACUUUUCCCAAGGGGGGCGCUUGGUUGGCAUCCAAAUAUCCCGAAGCGCAAUGUCCCUUUGGAGCUUGCACAACAACCAAGACGGAACCACGAUAACGAUUCAGGUUUGCCCGCUUGGUACGCUUAUAUGCAAAAAAAUAACAUUGUCUAUCCUUCCCAUAUGGUAACUAACCUUCUUCUAUCACGUCUAUGCACAGAGGGGAAAAGCCGAUUGUGCGUCUCGGUCAGGGACUACUACUGUUACCGGCUACAGACACGCCCUGCGAUAUUCAACCCCGUACUUCACGGAGCACGCUUGUUCCAGCAGUGGGGUGUGGACAUGUUCGUCAAGAUUGAGGGUUGUAGGCUGAAGUGGAUCAGGGACCACCAACCGCAGAUACGUGCCGAUCUAUAUCAAGGCCUUCUGGAUAGCAUAGCGGUUGGGGAGGUGGGAGCGAGCGCUAUUGGCAAGAGGAUCGUGCUCCCAGGGACGCAUCAGGGGAGCAACCGAGACAUGAAGGGGAGGCAUAUGGACGCUAUGGCACUGGUGCAGACCUAUGGGAAGCCUGACAUCUUUUUGACUAUGACGUGCAAUCCUAGCUGGGAGGAGAUACUGAAUGAGCUACUUCCUGGCCAGACACCCCAAGACCGACCAGAUCUUGUCGCACGCGUGAUUAGGGCCAAGUUGGAGACCAUGAAAGAGAUGUUGUUCAAGAAGCACAUCCUGGGUGUUGUGGUGGCGCAUGUGUAUGUCGUCGAGUUCCAGAAGAGGAGCCUCCCCCACGCGCACUUCCUAUUGAUCAUGAAUAGAGAAUAUAAACUUGUGGUGCCAGAGCAGUAUGACCACAUCAUAUCCGCAGAGCUCCCGGACAAGCAUAAGUAUCCCACUACUGGAAUUGAGAAUUUUGCCAUCUGCCUUGCCUUUGCCGUCUGCUGACGCAUGGCAAAGGUGCUCUUUGCCGUCAGUUGGCACAGUGCUGACGGCAAAGAGGUGGCUGAUGGCAAAGGUUUUAUUUGCCGUCGGCCACCUAUUUGCCGUCUGCUGGCGGACGGCAAAGGGUGGGCAGACGGCAAAGCCCCCCCCCCAACNNNNNNNNNNNNNNNNNNNNNNNNNNNNNNNNNCUUUUUUGCUAGAAAGUACGAAUAAUAAAAAGAAAAAGUAGAAAAGGUAGAAAAAGUAGAAGAAGAAUAUGUAGUUUAGUGCUAGGUUUAGUUUUUUUUUCUGUUUUUAUGUUAAAUUAGUUAGUUAGUUUAUGGGGAGUGCUACGCAUCCUCCGGUUGAUCUUUUAAAAAGAUCAUCCGGAUCACAAGCCGUUAGAUCUGUAGCAUCGAACGAUCGGACACGCCUCCAUUAUUGCAACAUAGGCAUUGUUGCAAAAUUAUUUAUGCAACACACGUCUUGUUGCGGAAUUAUUUUUAAAACAUAGGUCUUGUUGCUGAAAUGUUUGCAACAGAUGUUUGUAGCAAAAAUUUGCAACUGAGAUUUUGUGGCAUUUUUUCCAACUCAUAUCUUGUUGUAGAAAUAAUAUCCAAAAGAUGUUUUGUUGGAAAAUAUAAAUAUGUCGUGGACCAUCGCAACAUCGCAUAUGUUUCCGAAACAUAGCUUCUGUUGCAUAAAUAUGUUCGACAAAACAUGGUGUGGGUGACCUUAUUUCAAUGCGUGUCAAGCAAAAAAGGUGACAGACGCGUUCGCUAAGAUCCGCCGGAGGAUGGCAAGCAUUUUCAUUAAUUUAUUAGGUAGAAAAAGUAGAUAUAAAAUAAAAAAAAAGAUAGAAAAAAACUUAGAAGAAAAUAAGAGAAUAAUAAACUAGAAGAAAAAAGAAGAACAAGAANNNNNNNNNNNNNNNNNNNNNNNNNNNNNNNNNNNNNNNNNNNNNNNNNNNNNNNNNNNNNNNNNNNNNNNNNNNNNNNNNNNNNNNNNNNNNNNNNNNNNNNNNNNNNNNNNNNNNNNNNNNNNNNNNNNNNNNNNNNNNNNNNNNNNNNNNNNNNNNNNNNNNNNNNNNNNNNNNNNNNNNNNNNNNNNNNNNNNNNNNNNNNNNNNNNNNNNNNNNNNNNNNNNNNNNNNNNNNNNNNNNNNNNNNNNNNNNNNNNNNNNNNNNNNNNNNNNNNNNNNNNNNNNNNNNNNNNNNNNNNNNNNNNNNNNNNNNNNNNNNNNNNNNNNNNNNNNNNNNNNNNNNNNNNNNNNNNNNNNNNNNNNNNNNNNNNNNNNNNNNNNNNNNNNNNNNNNNNNNNNNNNNNNNNNNNNNNNNNNNNNNNNNNNNNNNNNNNNNNNNNNNNNNNNNNNNNNNNNNNNNNNNNNNNNNNNNNNNNNNNNNNNNNNNNNNNNNNNNNNNNNNNNNNNNNNNNNNNNNNNNNNNNNNNNNNNNNNNNNNNNNNNNNNNNCCCCCGAUGCUAGUGACCCUCGACCCCCGAUGACACUGACCCCCGACCAUCGACGCAUUUAACCCGACCCCCGACCACCGACACCCGACAUCACCGACCCUCGACGGCACUGACUCCCGACGUCACUAAGCCCCGACCCCCGACACCUCUUCUGCCUUCUGUUGAACGAGAAGAUGCUUUUCGGCCUUCUAGAUGCCCACGGGGUCAUAAUUUUGUAAAUUAUGAGUUAGGUCACAUAUUUUCUGAUUAUGUUAAUUAUAAAAACAUCGUAUUUGUGUUGAUCGUGUGAAUUUCAAUGUGCAGUUGUUCGACGACCUCCACGUGCGUUGGACGAGCUCCGCCCUUGCGUUUGUUGGUGAGCACAAAUGACUUCUCCUCCUACCCCCUUAAUUUGCUCUGUCCCGGUCUUCGUGCCGAUGAAACUUGCUAGCUAUAGGUUUCUUCAAUCAUGAGUAUGUGUGACCAGUAUGCGUCUCCCGUUCGAAAGGGCGAGAUCUAUAAAUAUGCAUUUCUUUGCAUAUUUAUAACCGCCAUCCGUUCGAAUUGUCCAACAUUAUCCAUGGACAGCCCGAGUAUGUGUAGAUUGGGUUUGUUUUCCCGUAUGCCGUGCUCCGGAUCCGAUGCGGAAUUUCGUCAGUGCCUCCCCCGUUGUUCUCCGGGUGCACAUCCUCUCUGCUUAUUGCCGAGACGUGUAUCAGGAGAACAGCGGGGAGGUGCUGCCGAAAUUCUGCAUCGCAUCUGGAGCAGAGCAUGGGAAAACGAACCCAGUCUACACAUACUCGGGUGGGAUUAGGACCUAUCUUUACCUAUUAGCGUGUAGGUUGCAUGGACGUAAUAAAACUGACAAACUUGAUUAGCGCAUGAAUAUAGAUGAUGAAUUAUAUAUUUAUUUCUUGUGCCCCCAUAGGUAGCUAGGCAACAUGAGUGAUCGUGCUUGGAUGUACACUGGUCACCCUAGUCAGAAAGACAUGACCCAUGAAUGGUUAACAAAAACCAGGGAGUUUGUGAGAGCCGCAUUUGCAAAUGGCCAACAUAAAACAUGGUGCCCCUGUCCCAACUGCGACAACUAGAAAAAGCAGACAGAGUUUGAAAUGGGUAAACACCUGCAGAAGUGGGGUUUUACGCCUAAUUAUACGGUGUGGACUUUUCAUGGUGAGUCUGACCAAGGUGCCAGAGCUGAGGUGAUUCGUCGUCGCACCGACGAGCAUGGUACCGGGAUUGAAGACAUGGUGCAAGACUUUGAUGAUGCUCGUGAUUCGGACGAUGAGAUGGAGGAAUCUGCAAAGGCCUUCUAUCAAAUGCUGGAGUCUUCAAAACGUCCUCUCCACGAGAAGACUGAGCUUUGUCAGCUGGAUGCCAUCGUGCAAGUAAUGGCUCUCAAGGCUCAAUUCAACCUAGGAAGAGAAUGCUACGACACGAUGAUGACGAUAUUUGGACACUUUCUACCCAAAGGCCAUGUACUGCCUGCAAACAUGUACCAGUCAGAGAAAAUCCUCCAUGUACUUAAGAUGCCCUAUGAGAAGAUACAUGCCUAUGAGAAUGGAUGUGCCUUAUUUAGGCUUGAGUAUGCGGCCUUGAACUAUUGCCCCAUUUGCAAUUCUUCCAGGUAUAUUGUGGUAGGAAACGACAUGGGUGAGAAGAAUCAGACCAAAAUCCCCAUUAGUGUUCUUCGAUAUCUGCCAAUCGUACCAAGACUUCAGCGUCUUUUCAUGGUCGAAGAGAUGGCCAGACAGAUGACCUAGCACAAAUUGGGCAAAAGAACCGAACUAGAUGCGGAUGGGAACAAGAUGCUGGUACACACUUCAGAUGGUUUUGCAUGGAGGCACUUCGAUGCAUUACAUAAGGAUAAAUCGGAAGAUCCAAGGCAACCUAGAGUUGCCAUCAGCACGGAUGGGUUCAAUGUGUAUGGUAUGACGGCAGCACAAUACGGUUGUUGGCCUGUAUUUGUCAUUCCACUAAAUUUGCCACCCGGAGAGAUUAUGAAAAGAAAUAACAUUUUCCUGACGUUGAUAAUUUCAGGGCCCAACUAUCCGGGGAAGAAUAUGAGUGUGUACAUGCAUCCGCUUAAGGAUGAGUUGCAAGAAGCCUGGGAUAAUGGGAUCAAGACCUACGACGCGGCUACCAAAACAAAUUUCAAAAUGCAUGUGUGGUACAUGUACUCGACGCAUGAUUAUCCGGUGUUUGCGCUAUUCGCUGGAUGGUGUGUGCAUGGAAGGUUCCCGUGCACCACAUACAAGGCAGCUCUUCAGUUCCGUUGGUUGCAGGCUGGUCGCAAGUAUUCUUGCUUCGACAUGCAUAGACAAUUCCUGGAUCCUGGUCAUAAGUUCAGAAAAGACAAGAAGAAUUUCAUCAAAGGCAGAGUUGUCAAAAACACUGCACCAGCUGCGUUAACAGGCCAACAGACCCUUGAUCAGUUAAACGCUCUCGAGCCUGAUCCUUUGCGUCCAGGAUACUUCAAAGGGUAUAAUACGGAACACGCCUGGACUCACAAGUCAUGCUUAUGGGAUCUCCCUUACUUCAAAGACCUCCUUUGCCCACACAACAUUGACGUGAUGCACACUGAAAAGAAUAUUGCGAAGGCCAUUUUUGGUACAUUGUUCGGCAUAGAGGGGAAGUCAAAAGAUAAUCGUAAGGCUAGAAUCCACCUGGAGGCUCUAUGUGAUAGACCGUUGCAAAACUUGCGACAACGGAAAGGAAAGCAAAGCAUAGCGAAGCCAAAGGCAUGGUUCAAUCUUGAAAGGCCAGCUAUGAGGGAAAUGAUAUUGUGGGUGAAAAUGCGGUUGAUGUUCCCCGAUGGGUAUGCUGCGAAUCUAAAGAGGGGAGCGAAUUUUGAGAAAUUGAAAAUAUUUGGGCUCAAAAGUCAUGAUUGGCACAUAUGGAUUGAGCGGGUAAUGCCGGUGAUGUUGCAUGGCUCUAUCCCUGAGGAUGAAUGGCUAGUACUGGCAGAGCUGAGCUAUUUCUUCCGUUCUCUUUGUGCGAAAGAACUAUCGCCUGGCAUGCUAGAUGAAAUGGAAGAGUUGGCGCCGGAGUUGAUCUGCAAAUUAGAAAAGAUCUUUCCACCGGGCUUCUUUAAUCCAAUGCAACAUUUGAUUUUGCAUCUCCCGGCCGAGGCAAGAAUGGGGGGGCCUGUUCAAAAUCGAUGGGGCUACUCAACUGAGAGGAUGCACAAGACGCUUCGAGCUAAGUGUAAAAAUAAACGUAGAAUGGAAGCAUCGAUGGCCGAGGCAUUCAUUACUGAGGAGGCGGCAAACUUCGUGACAGCACACUACAAAGCCAAAAAUCAUCAUUUGCAUAACCCGAAGCCUCGGUACAAUGAUGGCGAUCGAGAAAAAGUUCGAUCCAACCUCAGCCUAUUCAAAGGUAAGCUCGCACCAUCCGGAGCUUCGAAAGGGAAAUCGUGGGAUGUCAAAGAAUGGCGGACCAUUUCAUUGUAUAUCUUCACCAACCUAACAGAAGUGCGGCCGUACAUCGAGUAAGUUCUCGGUAAUUUAUUGUUCCGCAACUUCUAAUUGCUUUGAACUACUCUUAUUCCCGGAUAUUUGAUAUAGUCGAUACGUCGCAGAAUUCUCGGAUGGAGCGGUUAUCGAAAAGGAUUCCGUCGAAGAGUAUGAGCUUCUCGCAAAGCAUGGAGGCGACUAUCCCGGUUUCAUCUCUUGGUUCAAACAAAGGGUAAUUAAUUAUCAUUAAGGGCCCAUUUGAUUUAUUGGUCUAAUUUGCGGCUAAUGCAUCCAUUCUUUCGUAUUAAACUUGUAGGCUGAUGCAGAGUCUAUGGACGCCGAGUUGAGACAAGUCGCUAAUGGUUUUGACUAUAAGGUCAGUUCAUUUGACAAAUACAACAUCAAUGGGUAUCACUUUCGUACCUUUGGCAAAGAGCUAUCUAUGCCCGACCUAAAGACUACAAAUUGUUCUGGCUCUGCUAUCGGCAAAGGAGACACCGAGUAUUAUGGAAGAGUUGAAACAAUUUAUGAACUUCUAUUCUAUGGUGAAAACCCACCGACCGUCGUAGUCUUCAAAUGUUAUUGGUUUGAGCCGAGGGAGACUAGAAGGACUCUUGAACAUAUAGGACUAGUCGAAAUCAACCAAAACACCCACUUAGAUGUUCCCGAUGUCUAUAUUACGGCUCAACAGGCGACACAAGUUGUCUAUCUACCGUGGGCCUGCCAAACUGAUCCAAACCUCAAAGGUUGGGUGUCGUUUAUGAAGUGCCACCACAUUUUAGACCACCUACCCUCAAUGAAGAGGAUUACGAACCUCACAUUAACCCAGACACAUAUGAAGGAGAAUUCUUCCAAGAAACACGUAUGUCCAAGAAACAUUUCAAGAACCGCUCUACUUCACCCAGAACAUUGAAGUAGACAGCGAUAGUGAAUCCGUCUUAACCCCUGAGCCUGAAUAGGAAGAGCUGGAAGAAGAAGAGGUUACUGCUCUGGAUGACCUGUCACUUCUUGACCGAUUACAUAAUGGUGGCCUUCCACAUGUUCUUCGUGAUAGUGAUGAUGAUGAUACAUUUAUUGAUGAUAGUGAUGAUCAUGAUGCAUUUAUUGACCCCGAAGCAUAUAUAGACGAGGACGAUUGUUAUUAGUUCAUGUCAGGUAUUCAACUAUUAUACUAUAUAUAAAUUUUGAGUUCAUGUUAGGUAUUCAAUUUUUAUUAGUCAUGUUGGUAUUUAUGACGAUGAUACACUUAAAUUAUAUACAUUUUAUUACUCCUGUUGGUAUUUAUGUUGUACUAAUUUCAUUUACUCAUUGUCAUGACAGGUGUUGAAAGAUGGUGGGAAAGGGUCGAAAGCACUCCGCGGCUGCUUCUUCGUCGGCGGGUGAUGGGAUGGGUACUUCCAUUCCUGCCUCGCCUCUUCGGAGAGUGUUUCUCUCUACUUUGCAAGGAGCGCCCCCCGUGAGAGGAGGUCGACCCCCCCGCGAAGCCAAGAGGCACUAAAGGUACACGUUGUAUUCAUGUUGGUAUUUAUGUUGUACUCAUGUUGUAUGCAUAUUGGUAUUUAUAUACAUUUUAUUACUCAUGUUGGUAUUUAUGUUGUACUAAAGGUACACGUGGUCGCGGGAGAGGUAGGGCUACAUGGUCUCCGCCACCACCCCAAGCUGAUUCACCUGAGCACAGGACUUCUAGGGUGGAUUCGUGUGAGGUGGAGGCUACACGGUCUCCGGUUCACGAGCCUCGGGUCGACGAGCCUCAGGUCGACGAGCCUUCGACCCACGAGACUCGUGUCCCAGAGGCUUCCUUCCAGGCGACUCCGGAGCAAAGCAUGGAUGAGGGUACGUCCCAAGAGACCCAGUGGGAUACCUAGCCUGAGCCAAGUGGCCAUGCUGGUAGCGACGAGGAGCUGGGUCAGGGGGCUACCGUCUACCAGCGUGGUAGUUCGGGGCUCCCGCUCGUGCCAGCGACCCCCGAGCAGAGGUGGUCGAUUAGGCCAAAUGGGGACAAGUAAGUUAAUUUACUCUUAUUUAACCUUUUGCCUUCGCGUUUUCUCAAAUAUCUAAUGUUUUGGCUUUAAUUUGUCAUACUGUAGGGGUUGGAUUUUUGCCAAGGGUGCCCGCAAGCCCAACAGCGUCCUUGGUGUUCUUUGCCGUCAAAACUUUCCAGGGUUUGUUACGUUGCCCGGUCGGGAGCGAGAGGUAGGAAUGACCUGGGAGCACUACUUGGGUGCCCCGACCCCGCCGGAGGUGGAGAUCGACGGUGUUUUGUGUGACACAAGGGCGGACAUGGUGAUCCGAAAGUUCUGGGUAAUUUCUCUUUCACACAAUUAUAAAUCUACCAUAGCUAUUUAUUGUACUAAUCGGUGUUGUCUCGUUUGCAGACCUACUACAGGUGUGAGGAGGGAUACGAGGAGGACGCAGCAAAGGUUAUCGAAACCGAAUGUCGCCGCCUACUUCAAAACUUUCGGCACGAGGCUCGGGCGCAGGCUGUUCGAGACUACUAUGCCACGCGGCGUAUUAGGCUUGACAAGGCCAAGUGCCGUGAUGCUAAGAUGGAGAAGGAGCAUUAUAUGAAGGUAAUUACAUAUUAUUAAGGCUUUGUAGUUAGUUUCCUUGAUUUGGUUCUUACGCGCUCAAAUUUCUCUUUAUUAACUUAGGUGCCCCCGAAAUGGUGUGUGGAUAAGAUGGAUUGUUGGGAGGCCUUGGUGGAUGAGUGGUGCUCCGAAACGUGGGAGGCCAGCCACAACAACGCCAAGGAGAGGCGUGGCAAAAUGGUUGGCGUGCCACACCAUCUAGGGAGCGUCAACUUAAUCCAAUUUGGCGAGAACUGGGUAUGUGGUUUUCUUCAUGCCUCAUGCAAUUCAUUCUUAAUGCUAUCUUGAGCUCUUUACCAAUACAAUUUUCCUCUCUCUCUUUUAGGCGCGUCACAAUAAGACGAAGGCGCCACAGAUGUACGACCUGUAUGCGAUGGCCCAUACUGCCUCGUACAAGAAGGUCAAGGCAUUCUCUGAGUCUGACCUCGAGCAUCCAGAAAACUUCACCAACAUCUCCUCCCACGACAAGCUCGUGAAGUACAGAGAUCACGGAAAGGCGAGGAAAGGGGAGGACUUUAACCCGAGCGAGGGGCCUAUUGAUCCAGAGUUGGUGAUGAUAGCUGGCAACGGGAGGCCCCAUGGCUCGAUCUCCAUUGGAGACGGCCUUAUACGUUGUCCUAGCUCUCUCCGGCAGAUAAAGGCACGCCAAACGAGCUCUUUUCCGGAGAUAAAACGUCGUCCACGGCCAGUCGAGCUCGCCAUCGAGGUUAGUUUAGUGGACUCAACUAUCUUUCCCCAUUAUGUUGUGCGUUGGAACCAAUAUGAUUACAUUGCUAACAAUGAGUUGUGUUGUAGGCUUCUAUUCAGAAAGAGAGAGAGGCAAUGCAGGCGGCUAUGGCGGAGAAGGAUAAGGAAAUUAGGGAGCUGUAGGAGAGGACGACUGCAUUGGUGGAGGCGGAGAGGGCACGGAAUGAUGCGUCUACCAGGGCCAUAUACGAGGUCUUCGUGGUAAGUUUCUUCUUCAUGUUAUUUCAAAUCUUGCAUUUGAAUGUCUAUUUCAUUAAUAAAUAAAAAGUUUGACUUGUCAAAACCAAAUGUACAGUCUAUGUGCGAGAAGAACGGCCAAGUCCCUCCGCCGAUGCCAGUCAUUAACAUGGCGGGGACGGUGAGUUUCAUUUCAGUGGAGUGAUCUUAAGAGUGUCCUCAUGCUAACUACACAUUGCAAACGAUGUUUGGUGCAGAAUAUCUCCCAAAACGCAUCACACGACCCUUCUACAGUCGAGCCUUCUCCAAGGAAGCCUUCUCCAGGUGAAACAAGCCAGAGCCACCGUGCUUGACCCUAACUUAGGUAUGUUAUUUCUAGUGUUUUAAUAAAAGAUAGCUAGAUGACAUAAUUAGCUUAGUUAGCUCCAAAAAUGACCUAUNAUUAUCCAUCUAAAUGACAUAAUUAGCUUAGUUAGCUCCAAAACGACCUAUUUAAUAAAAAAUGACCUAUCCUUAGCUAAUUAUCCUCGAAAUGACAUAAUUAGCUCCAAAAAGGCAUUCUUAGCCAAUUUAGCCCGAAGAAGGGGACAAGAGGAGAAGAAAGAGNNNNNNNNNNNNNNNNNNNNNNNNNNNNNNNNNNNNNNNNNNNNNNNNNNNNNNNNNNNNNNNNNNNNNNNNNNNNNNNNNNNNNNNNNNNNNNNNNNNNNNNNNNNNNNNNNNNNNNNNNNNNNNNNNNNNNNNNNNNNNNNNNNNNNNNNNNNNNNNNNNNNNNNNNNNNNNNNNNNNNNNNNNNNNNNNNNNNNNNNNNNNNNNNNNNNNNNNNNNNNNNNNNNNNNNNNNNNNNNNNNNNNNNNNNNNNNNNNNNNNNNNNNNNNNNNNNNNNNNNNNNNNNNNNNNNNNNNNNNNNNNNNNNNNNNNNNNNNNNNNNNNNNNNNNNNNNNNNNNNNNNNNNNNNNNNNNNNNNNNNNNNNNNNNNNNNNNNNNNNNNNNNNNNNNNNNNNNNNNNNNNNNNNNNNNNNNNNNNNNNNNNNNNNNNNNNNNNNNNNNNNNNNNNNNNNNNNNNNNNNNNNNNNNNNNNNNNNNNNNNNNNNNNNNNNNNNNNNNNNNNNNNNNNNNNNNNNNNNNNNNNNNNNNNNNNNNNNNNNNNNNNNNNNNNNNNNNNNNNNNNNNNNNNNNNNNNNNNNNNNNNNNNNNNNNNNNNNNNNNNNNNNNNNNNNNNNNNNNNNNNNNNNNNNNNNNNNNNNNNNNNNNNNNNNNNNNNNNNNNNNNNNNNNNNNNNNNNNNNNNNNNNNNNNNNNNNNNNNNNNNNNNNNNNNNNNNNNNNNNNNNNNNNNNNNNNNNNNNNNNNNNNNNNNNNNNNNNNNNNNNNNNNNNNNNNNNNNNNNNNNNNNNNNNNNNNNNNNNNNNNNNNNNNNNNNNNNNNNNNNNNNNNNNNNNNNNNNNNNNNNNNNNNNNNNNNNNNNNNNNNNNNNNNNNNNNNNNNNNNNNNNNNNNNNNNNNNNNNNNNNNNNNNNNNNNNNNNNNNNNNNNNNNNNNNNNNNNNNNNNNNNNNNNNNNNNNNNNNNNNNNNNNNNNNNNNNNNNNNNNNNNNNNNNNNNNNNNNNNNNNNNNNNNNNNNNNNNNNNNNNNNNNNNNNNNNNNNNNNNNNNNNNNNNNNNNNNNNNNNNNNNNNNNNNNNNNNNNNNNNNNNNNNNNNNNNNNNNNNNNNNNGCUUAGACUCAUCCAAGAAAGGCUAAGUUGGCUAAUUAUCCAUCUAAAUGACAUAAUUAGCUUAGUUAGCUUCAAAAUGACCUAUUUAAUAAAAAUUGACCUAUACUUAGCUAAUUAUCCUUGAAAUGACAUAAUUAGCUCCACUAAGGCAUUCUUAGCCAAUUUAGCCCGAAGAAGGGGAGAAGACGAGAAGNNNNNNNNNNNNNNNNNNNNNNNNNNNNNNNNNNNNNNNNNNNNNNNNNNNNNNNNNNNNNNNNNNNNNNNNNNNNNNNNNNNNNNNNNNNNNNNNNNNNNNNNNNUUGCUAAUUAUCCAUCUAAAUGACAUAAUUAGCUUAGUUAGCUCCAAAAUGGUCUAUUUAAUAAAACAUGACCUAUAGUUAGCUAAGUUCUCUCCUAAAUGACAUAAUAAGGCUUACGUAGCUGGAACAUGACCUAUUCCCCCUAACUUGGUAUUAAAUGGCCUAUAAUUAGCCUAGCUAGAUCAAAAAUGGCUUAAUAAGCAUAGUUUGCUCCGGAAUGACCUAUUUUACCCAAGUUAGCUCCGAAACGACCUAUAGUUAGCUAGGGUUCCACCUAAAUGACAUAAUUAGCUUAGUUAGCUCCUAAAUGGUCUAUACUUUGCUAAUUUCUCUCCGAAAUAACCUAUAUAUACACUACUUCAUCUAGUAUUAUUCUUCUAACUUUCUUAUUUGUCAUUUUGCAGAUUACCUUCACUUCACGGGAAGCUUGGAAAAUAUUGAUGGAAUGCUUGAAGUUGAUUUCUUGUACCAUGGGUUGUAUUGAAACUAUUAUAGUAUAUGAAUAUAUGAAACUUUGUAUGCACGUGGAUGAAACUGGUGUAAUAUAUGAAACUUUGUAUGCACGUGGAUGCAACUUGAAAGCUGGAUAUCAGAGGUUAUUUUAAUAUGGUUACGAGUACGGAAAGAAAUUUAUUUAUGUUAAAUAUAUNCAAAGGAUAUAUAUAUAUCCUUUGUUAAAAAUGCUGGAUAUAACAAAAAAUAAAUAAAAAAGGGGAUGGUUCCCCUCUUUGCCAUUUGCCGUUAACACUUAACGGGGACGUUGCAAUAUAUGCCGUCCGAGUUAAUUUGCCGUCUGUCCCCUCAUGGCAAAGAUUCUUUGCCAUCCGCUUUGGGAAAGCAGACGGCAAAGAACCUCUUCACCAGAUUUUUUUUUGUCGUCUACUUUGCCGUCAGCUGACCGACGGCAAAGCCUUUGCCGUCUGUGGUUGCACCCUUUGCCGUCCGCUUUGGCAGACGACAAAUUUCUGAAUUUCAGUAGUGUCCAGAGCUCUAUGCCAUGGUCGUGAAGCAUAUGAUGCACGACCCAUGCGGUAAUCUAAAUCCCAAAAAUGUGUGUAUGCAAGACUUGAAGUGCAAGAGCCAGUACCCACGGCCAUUCAACCAGAACACCUUACAGGGGAUGGAUUCAUACCCUAUGUAUCGACGGCGGGUCGAUGGUCGUCAGGCUAAGGUCCGAUGUAAGAUGAUGGAUAACAGAUGGGUCGUGCCUUACAACCCUUAUCUGUUGCGGAUGUUCAAAUGCCACAUAAAUGUCGAGGUGUGCUCCAGCAUCAAGGCCGUCAAGUACCUUUACAAAUACGUAUACAAGAGCCAUGAUCGAGCUUCAAUCAACAUCGACCAGCCUGACGAGAAAGGGGUUGUAGAUGAGAUUAAAAGGUACAUCGAUGCGAGAUGGGUUACUCCACCGGAGGCGAUGUGGAGGAUAUUCGGCUUUAAUAUUUCCGAGAGUUUCCCAUCGGUCCUACAGUUGCCGCUUCAUCUCCCAAAUAUGCAUAGUGUCACGUUCAAAGCAGGAGUGGACCGGACCGAUGUUGUCGCCCGUGAUAAAGCAUCUAAGUCAAUGCUGACCGAGUAUUUCCUCGCUAAUCAGCAGCAUGUUUUGGCUCGAGGCAUCUUGUACAAGGAUUUUCUAGGAAGUUUCACAAGGCAGAGAGCAAAGUACUGGAGGCCCAGGCAAAAGCAACACCAAGUAGGUCGAAUCGUGUCAGCACAUCCAGCCGAGGGGGAGCGAUACUUUCUACGAGUGCUGCUCAACCACGUACCAGGCAAGACAUCCUUCGAGGACCUGAGUACCGUGGACGGUGUGCUAUGUGAUAGCUUCCGUGAGGCUGCCAAGAGAUUGGGCCUCAUUGAGGCCGACAACACGCUUGAUGAGUCUCUUACAGAGUCAACACAAUUCGUGAUACCAGCCUCGCUCAGGAGGCUCUUUGCAACAAUCUUGGUAUUCUGCGAGCCAGGUGACGUGCGUGGUCUAUGGGAUAGGCACCUAGAGGCGAUGUCUGAUGACUACCGCCGAUCACACACCUACUCAAAGGCAGUGGAGCAGAUGGUGUUGCUAGACAUCAGGGGAAUGCUACAGUCAAUGGGAAAAGACAUAGCGUUGUUCCCUCUUCCGGACAACGACGAGACAUAUGACACAACCGGAGGCGAGGCCAGAGAAGUCACAGAGGAGUCCACCAUCGAGGUUGACGCACACCACGCUGCUUUAGGAUCCUCGCUAAACCAUGAGCAAAGGCUUGCAUACGACGAUAUCCUGGCAGCAGUAGAUGCCGGUGAUGGGGGUGUAUUCUUUCUCGAUGGCCCGGAAGGCACCGGGAAGACCUUCCUAUACAGGGCAUUGCUCGCAAAGGUUCGGGGGGAGGGAAAGAUAGCGGUGGCUACGGCGACGUCAGGCGUCGCCGCUUCCAUCAUGCCUGGAGGCAGGACAGCCCACUCGAGGUUCAAGAUCCCACUCAGCAUUGAAGAUGGGGCGUCGUGCAGCUUCACCAAGCAAAGUGUGACGGCCAAGCUCCUGCGCAUGGCUUCCCUCAUCCUAUGGGACGAGGCCAGCAUGACGAAGUGGCAAGCUGUUGAGGCACUAGAUAAUAGCAUGCGGGACAUUAUGGGACGACGGCACCAACCGUUCGAGGGGAAAACUGUCGUGUUCGGUGGGGACUUCAGGCAGGUGCUUCUAGUCAUCAGGAAAGGGUCACGGGGUCAGAUAAUCAAUGCGACCCUGCGGAGUUCGUAUCUUUGGAAGGGUAUGCGCCAACUAAGGCUCGUCACGAACAUGAGGGCGCAUAAUGACCCGUGGUUCACAGAUUACUUGCUAAGGGUAGGAAACGGCACCGAAGAAACCGACGAGGAAGGCAACAUCAGGCUCCCUCAAGACAUUUGUGUGCCGCCAACGGGAGACGGUGUAGACCUAGAGAAUCUAAUCGACCAUGUAUUUCCUGCUCUAGACAACAACCUGUCUGAUCCUAAUUACAUGACAUCUCAAGCGAUCCUCUCCACCAAGAACGACAACAUUGAUAAGAUAAACACACGCAUGAUAGAGCGCUUCCAGGGCGAAGAGAAGAUCUACCAUAGUUUUGAUAGUGUAGAGGAUGACCCACACGGCUACUAUUCCCCUGAGUUCCUCAAAAACCUGACUCCCAACGGGCUGCCUCCGCAUGCCCUCAAACUAAAGAUAAAUUGCCCCAUUAUACUAUUGAGAAAUAUAGAUCCAGCUAAUGGGUUAUGUAAUGGCACAAGGCUUGUGGUCCGGGGUUUCCAGAGGAAUACCAUCGACGCAGAAAUCGUGCUAGGACAAGAUGCUGGUAGGAGGGUGUUCCUUCCUCGGAUACCUCUGUGUCCAUCCGAUGAUGAUAUCUUCCCUUUCAAGUUCAAGAGGAAAUAGUUCCCUAUUAGGCUCAGCUUUGCCAUGACGAUCAACAAGGCGCAAGGACAAACCAUACCGAUUGUCGGGGUGUACCUACCAGACCCGAUUUUCUCUCACGGUCAGCUCUACGUUGCAUUGUCUAGAGCCACUGCGAAGAGGAACAUUAAGAUUCUCGCCAUCAAGGACGACGGCAAGGGUAAAGGCAAGGGCAAGGAACAAAGCAAGAAUUCAAAGAAGCGAAAAAGUUCUGAGCCCUUAUUAACAACCAUGAAGAACAUAGUAUACAAGGAAGUCCUUAGCACAUAAAGUAGUCGUCUGGGUCAUCAGAAGAAUCUGGCUGGUUGCUUUCAAUUGCGCCUAAAACUUUGUUCGAUGACAACGAUGUGGAGUUUUGAACCAGAUUCCGUGGGAGGAUAAGAAAAGUCAUGAAUAAAUGAUUUUUUUCCUAUGCAGUAGUUUGAACAUGCUCCUAUUGAUCAGUACUGAGAUGAAGCCCUGCUACUUGGUGUUGCUGCCUAAAAGGACACCUAAAAUUAUCGUCAAGACCAUUCUAUUGGCCCUUCUAUUUUCUGGAAUGGCAUCAAGAAGUAACUUCCUGGAAUGGUAUCACAGUUUUAGUACUUAGAAACCUAUUAUCCUUCCCAUUUUCUAGGCACAUAUUCUAUCACGUACAACCUGAUCAUUCUGUUUUCUGUUCAAUUAAACUUUAUUCCACUUUGAAUCAGAUUUAUUAUGUUAUUCCAAUCGUAAAAUGAAUUUCCAACAAGAAGUAGAAAAUCAAACAUGAUUAAAAGGUAACAAUUCGAAUGAGACCCUCAUACAAGACAUUUUUGACUCUAGCCCACUUUGGCAGAUCCAGGGAUGCCCUGGCAUUAGCAUAUAAUUGGUAAACAAGUACAAAGGGAAAAUCUUCGUGACUACAAAAACAGUUUCCAAGGGUGAAGAAAUAGAUAAAAUAUACUUACGUAGCACUUCAUGGGCUUUCAAACGCUCUGAAGGGAAAUUGUAAAGCAUCUUUCUUAUAAGGUCCUUUGCACUGUCAGAUAUCUUAGGCCAGGGGUCUGAUUCCAAAUCAAGGUGCCGCUUCAGAAGUGCAUCAAAUAUGCCUUUCUGUGUAUGUGAUAAAGUAAAUAUUGAUCAUUUUAGCAAUUCCAGGAAGACGGUAUACUCAAGUUUAACACCAGAGUUUAAAGAAAUCACCUGCCCAAAAUGGUGGAACCCCACUUAGCAAUACAUAGAGUAUCACUCCAGCUGACCACACAUCGGACUCUGGCCCAUAGCGUUUGUGCAAUACCUCAAGAGCAACAUAGAACGGGAUGCCUACUAGCUCAUUGAAAACCUGACCUGAAUUGGUAAAUUGGCAAAGUUAAUAAAGAAAAACAAUAAUUUGUUCAGAAAAUAACAACAAACACUUCACACACGGGAUGGGUAAAUAUAAUGCAGAUACAUGCGAAUAUGAAUGAGGUAGAAACAGAGUUUCAUUUUCAAUUUGCAUCAUCCUCGUAAUAAGCAGCAAUGAUAAGCUAAUAUUCAUGUGUGUUGUUGAAUCGACAAGAUAUACCAACUCCUGAUGUGUUAGUCAACAUUCAUGCCAUGAUGUUAUAUGCAAUUAUUCAGAAUAACAGUGGAGAUACUUAUUAUCCUCUGUGCCUAUGACUUAUUACAGCUAGCGGCGGCAAAAUCGGAGCUUGCGCGGGUGAACGAGGAGAACAAGCAGGUCAAGAUAAUGCUCGCCAACGCCAACACCCUUCACCGUUCAAUACCAUACAGCUGUUCGCGCAGAUUAACAAUUUUAAUCAGCAUAGAUGUCAGCAUAAUAUAGAUGUACCCGUCAUUACUAUAAGCAAUGAAGUUCUUAAUUUUCUGGAUCAGGUAAAUACGAAAGGUGUGAAAAGAAAAUAGUGAGUACCGGAAUAAAUAAGUUCCACAAUCCCUCCUCUUUUGCUAAUGCUUUCAAUUUUUCUUCUUCAGGAUGGAUUGUCCACCGUGAGGUUGAUUGUGCAUGUCUGUAUAACUCAUCUUCCUUCGGGUAUAUAUGAUCUUUCAUGAACUUCAUUAUUUUAUGCCGUAGCUUCAUAACCUUUUCGCUAGGAACAAAUUUGCCUUGACCACUUGUCAAACUUGAAUCUUCCUGCUCUACAUGGAAACCUUGUUUUUUUAGAGAGAUACAUGGAAACCUUGUUGGGGAGCCUUCGAGACAUGCAUACCUUUAAAUGUGAAUGCUUAGUUAACAACAUUUGAGUGCAUUAUACUUUACAAGAAUAAUGAUUGCUCCUAAAAAGGGAAUAAAGGAUCAUAACCACAUUUCCAUGUCUAUGUGAAGCAGUUUAUUUGGAAAAAGGAACAAGGUUUAAGAAAACAAAAAGAUCUUGCCCACAAAGCGCACUCAAAUAGGUGGCAGGAAGUUGUUAAGAUGAAGCUGUGAAAUAUAAUUACCUGUAGCAGGGUGUGCUCUCAGGACAUUUUCUCUAUUAAUGUAAUACCAGGCACAAUCAACCAUAACAUUGCCAGCCUUGCCGGCAAAUCUAGUAUGCUCACCGCCUGAAGCAUUACCCUGUGUGCCAGCUAAAAUAAAUUAGAAUAUAUAAAUAGACACAGAUUUCAUGAGUUCAAGACAAAGUACCAUAGUCCAUCUGUGGUAUACUCCUGCAUAGAUAGAUGCCCCUCGAAAUAGUGAAAAGGCAAUGUACAACUUCCAAUUUGCUGCAGGCCAAGGUCGUGCCUGAGGGGAAUUUAAUAGAAGAAAAGUGAAUGAUAAAAAAACAGUGAAAAGCACUGGCUUUUUAUCCAGCAAGCAUGAAAAAAUAAGCAAACACGAUGCUUAGAGACAUAGAGCAGUACACAGCUAGGUACUCUUCCAGUUGAGGAAUGCCAUCUGGAAUGCCAGAAUGUUCAAAUCCUCCAUACGGACUAUUUUCACUGAGUGCUCCAUCAAUAAUAUAUGGCUGCAAAGAUAAAUAAUAAACAACAUAAAACAUACAAAAUCACAUGACCUAAAUGCUACGCAAACAUGUACAAGAGUUUCUAUUGUUGGUGAACACAUGGUACCGAUACAAUAAUGAUGACCAAAUAGGACACAUAAUUUUCUUCAGAAUUACCUAGAAAACUCUUCUCAGACUUAACACAUAAAGUUUCAGAAAAUAAGAAACACGACUAUCUCAUCUAUUAUUUUGUAGGAUCUUGCAAGCUAUUAUUUUGUAGGAUCGAAAUCCCUCUGAACUCCAACUCAUGUGAGGACUUGUUCUGCUUUGGGGUAAAAAGGAAAAGAAAAAAAAUACUCCAUACAUUUUGGAAACCAUGGGAAAUGUGUUUCUUCUAUUCAUACUAAAGAGCAAUACGCAAACAACAUCCUCAGCAAUUUCUAUCAGGAAACAUGUGACAUGACUACGAUAUGAUAGUUUGCAAGUACAAAAAUGAGAUCAUCAAAGAAUUUACAGCUAUGUAUGUUCUCUAUCAUAUGUAACACAUCCAUGAUAUAACUUUCAUAUAUGUGACAACAUGACGAAACCAAAUAAAGUAGUAGUAGUACUUACGGUUUCACCUUGGAAAUCCAAUGUGAGAGUAUGUAUGCUUGUUACUCCAUGUAGAGGGGGGGGGGGUAUGUGUUCCUCACAAACUGAACCAGAUGAGAGUUCUAACUCCCCAAGAGAUGGGACAAAACCAAAGGUCAAUGGGGCAUACCGAGAUACCCAAUAAUCACAAAAGAACUUAUCCAAUUUCGGGAGGCAGACAAGGUCAACUCUCAGAAAGCGACACUUGUCAAUUUCUGGAACACAGAGUUUUGAGUCUGGUGCAUCAAUCUUAAAGAUAGAGUAGGAACCAGUAUCGCAAUGAUAAAGGGUUAGAUGCUUCAGUUGCUUGCAGGAGUUGAAUAGCACAUGGUGCAUGUCCAAUUUUUCAAACCCUACAUUUUUUAGAAAGAGCUUUGUGAGGCAGUGGAGCACACAAGGGUAGGCAGUGAAAAAACCAUCUAUGUGUUGAGCUCGUUGUUGCAUCUCUUCGUCGCUACGGUCGUUAGUCCAUGUCUUAUCAAGAAUGCCAAGAUCCAAAUCUUUCAACAAACCACUGUUAAUUGCAUCACCUAUCAGUGGGCCAACUUUGUGAAGGAAAGUGUUGAUCAAAUAGAGGUUAAGAUGCAAACUUGAGAUAGUGAAUUCUCUCUGUUGUUUAUUCAAGAAACUCAUGGUUUCUUUGGUCAAAGAGGCCAUGGCUUGCUCCAUAUCAUUUUCAUCAAUAGGGUCAGCGCACGGAGCGGAUAGGAAAUCUUGGACAUCGAUGCUGAGUUCAGGCAGCAACCAAGGCAGAUGCCUCCACCGUGUAGAGAGCACACUUGUACUUGUACUUUUCAUAUGCCUCCGUGACUUCAGUUCACUUGUCACUAUAUAUGUUAUUCUCAUCAUAUGUUAUUUAUCAUCAUUGCAUAUGUUAUUCUCAUCAUUGCCAAUGAAAAGUACGUCCAGAUUCAUAAUUUUGCUUGUUAGGGGGGCGGGGGAGCAAAGACAAAACGAAGUCACGACAGCAUGGUGAAACUUUGAAACCAAAUCUGGCCAUAUUUUUUGGCUCUGUUUAUUCAGUUCACUCCGACACAAGCACGGAAAUUAUUGGUAUAAUACGAUAGACAAACAACUUAACAAAAAUAAACGAAUUGAUAGUUUAUUUAUCCGAGUCCUCUUUUUUUCCAACAGAAACAGAAUAGGCAAAAACUCCUUAUCCAAACAACCUAAUCCUAACCAUAUACGAUACUACUCAUCUAGCUAGCCUUCAAAGCGUGUAUAUAUAAGAUGGACUCAAUCUACUAUUGACUAUUUUUGCUUACCUCGAAGAUCAAACUUCACCGACGGUACCAAUCCAACGGAGUUGCCGAUGCAGGACGCGGAGGGAGAGAGGGGAGCCGACCGUGAGAAGGUAAAAUCAAUUCCUCCGUUCCUGCUCGAUCUCCGCCCAUCCGGGCGAGUACGGCUUGCUGCAGGGUGUCCUCACGCUCCACGGCGCGCGUGCCUCGCCGGGCGUUGCCAGUAGAAUAGGCCGACCGCGCGUUGCCAGCCGAAGAGGCCGACCGACCUGGCGCCGCGUAGCCGGAGNUAGGGAGAGGCGGGGGUCGCACAGUUGCUCCGGGAGGUAUCAGUCACGCCGUCGCAAUGCGUGCGCCACGGCGCGCCGGCGGCAGCAUCGAUGAGCUCCUGAGUGGAUAACACGGGGAGGGGAAGGGGAUGGGGAACGAGAUGAGUGGUGAUGGUGAGAUAAGAGAGAGUGACGGGGAUGGGAAACGGCGUGCUCUGGGACUGGUGUGUUGCCACGGGGAUCGAGAUAAGAGAGAGUGACGGAGAUUAGUUAAACAGGUGUGUUGUCACGGGACCAAUUAGCUUAAAACGACUGAAUUCUUUGAUAGUGCAUUCAGGAACCACCAGACCAAUUAGUUUGCUAGGCUGUAUGAAAAAUAACGACUGAAUUCUUUGAAAGCAAGCCGACAGUGAGCUCCUGCACCACCAACACAGCAUGGUGCCGCAUUGUCGACUGCAGUAUGAUUUUUUGCCUAUAGUGUCCACUGCAGUGUGAUUUUUUGCCUAUAUCUCAAAAGGAAUCACGGUUCAGAAAAGGCAGGGAAAAAAAAUAAGUAGAAUACUUUAGCUUAAUUUUUGUCUAUAACAGUUAACUGUACGUUUGUACGUGACUGGAUCAUAAAAAUUAGCUAUCGAUGGAUAUUUCAUACCCUGAAAAUAGAAAGUGGCAUGGCGUAAGUGCACUAGUUUCAGUUGUAGAAUUGAUUUUUGUUGCAACGCCGAAGUAUAUAUUAGAGCAUAUUAAGCAAGGUAUUUAGACAAUAUGUCAUGGCUACCAAGUUUAUUUGUUAUCAAUCUUUUUACUCUUUUAUUUUGUAAGUUGCAUAUGAAUUAUGAUAUUGUAGCCCGAAAAAAAUUAAUACUCUAUUCAAAUUAUAUUUUAUAUAUAUUUCACUUUUGCAGGAUGUGUUAGUCACAGAUACGGAUAUUGAUGACCAUCGAAAGUUACCUAUCAACAAGAGCCCGAAGGUGAUAGAUAUGAAUACCGUGGAUCAUCAAAAAAAAGCUACCGAUAAGAGCCCGACGAAUAUGUCAUUGGAAGAGAACAAAAACUCAGGAACUACUACACAACAUAUAGAUACAUCCAAUUCAGGUCAUACCAAACCAAAAAGAGCAAAUACUAAUAUUACACCACAAGGUACUUACUUUUACAGUGCUUAUCAACUUUUUCAUUCUAUUGGUCUUUUUUAUGAUCUACUAAUUUGGUUUCAUGUCGUCCCAUGACAGAUUAUAUUUGCACCCCGCACGAUAUUUCAAUUAUUAAAACAAUCAUGCCCUUACAUUCAAAUACUAAGUUGGUGCAUAUCAAUGAUGCAUUAUUAUCAAGUGCUGAGAUGAGAUGUCUUACGCACGAUGAUGUGUUUUUGCACGAUGAACUAAGUCAAACCACACACUCUUUUAAACUAACAAAAAUGUAUUCUAUUUUCGCAUGAUAAGUGUAUUAACAUUUAAAUGUAUUCUAUCUUCGAAACUAUAGGUAAUAAAUGCAUACAUAUAUUGCAUUAGUGCCCAGGAGCAUCUACAAGAUAGAGUGGGUGGAAAGGUACACAUUGCAAGCAUGUUUGUGUCUUCCCUGCUAAAGAAAGAUGAGAUAUACCCAUCAACACAUCGUCACAUUGUAAGACGAGUAAAUACUUUUCUGGAGCAUGACAUGGUUAGUCUUAAGUCACUACACUUACAUAUAAUGAUGCAACACUUUUUUACGUGAGAGUAGUCACGUGUUAUAUUAUAUAAUAUUUAUUGCUUUAGGUAUUCCUUCCAAUUAACAUUACAAAAUACCACUGGUAUCUAUCGGUUCUCAAUGCGAAGAAAUGAGAGAUACAUGUAUUGGACUCACUUGGAAUUGGCAUGAACCGAAGUGACCUCACUAUGACGGUAAAUGUCUACUUCAUGUGUCUCUUUCCCUAGACAUUACAUUUCAUUUGCCUAAUACGUGUUGACUUUUUCCAUUUAAUAGAUACAAGGACUUGACAAGCAUAUAAAAAUCGCAUGUGAUAUGCCGAAGUUUAAGAGAGGUGAUAGGUGACAGGACCUCGAUAUUAUGAAUUGGACAGUCGUAGAACAGUUCCAAAAGCCACUCCAAACAGAUGGGUAUGAUGAACACAUCUCAUAUUUAAACUGAAUUAUAGAGAAAUUUAUGAUAGAUAGAAUAGUAAGUCAUGUGAAUAAUAAAUUUUUGGUAGUAAAUAUGGUCUUAUUUUAUAGCCAAAACAUUGAGUUAAUAGAUACAUUUGUCGAUGCAUCGAGACAUGCACAAUGAACAUUAUUACUUGUUUAAAUACUUUAUUUAUAUUGAGACGAAAGCCUAAAGGAAUAUUUCAAUAUUGCAGCACAUCAUGUGGAUUGUUUAUGUUAAAUUUUAUGGAGUAUUGGACAAGAGAACUUUUGUCAGAUCAAUUCACUCAGGUAUCUCUUUUUUCUUAAUAUCGGAUUUCAUCUCAAAUGCACGUGCUUUUUUAACGAAUUAUUUUUAAUUGCUGAAUUAUUUUUAAUUUCUAUAUGCAGGAGGACAUGAAAGAAUUUCGACGAAAAUUAGUUGUCAUACUAUUGGAGACAGAACUUAAUAAGUUAAAAGGAAGUCCAAUAUACUAUGAGCCUGACAAUGAAGAACUUGAAUUUGAUUCUGAUGUUGAGCUCCUGGAUGAUUGAAAGUGUAAGCGGCAAGAUACACGUGAUGGAGCCGAAGACAAAAUCCCCCUUCCAGUCCCAAUCAUGGGCGUAGACCCGUAUGAUUUAGUUGACAAAAUAUGCAAUGACAUCAUGUCAAUUAAUGAUGCUGAUUUGUUGGAGUAAGCACCAUGUCUAAGAAAUAUAAAGCUUCAAUAUUAACUAUUACAAUGUUAUGAUUAUUAAUUGUUACCUACAGGAAGGAGUGGAUGCGAAGCUCUAAACCCCAUCCAAUAGGAUUAAGUCUUAGAAGAAUUUAGGGUAUACUCCACAGGGACCAUCCGCUGGACAUUGAUUGUUUGAACAUGGCUAUACGUAUACUUGCAUGUGACAAGGCCUCACUGGCGGUAGAUCCUCCGGUGCGCUACAUGGAUCUACAAUUUUCUGUGAGUUACCACAAUCAUAGAUUAUAUUAUCAUUGUCACCAUCAUGUUUCUUAACCAUUUUUCACCCAGACGGCUGUGACCGAGGCCGCUCUUGCUUCCGCACAAGAUCUAGAUUCACGGGUACAACCAUAUAUUCAAGCGCUAGCAGCAUUGCUUCGUAGCUGGACUGAGAUAGAGCGCAACAUCUCAUCAUGCAAUAUGGUAAGUUUGGUCUAUUUUAUAUGGUUGUCGUGAUAAAUGUUUAUUCUUAAUGAGUGUUGCUUGUAGAUUUUGCUUCCUCAUAGAUCCCUUGGCCACUACAUCUUGUUCGCGAUCAACAAACAUGCCCAUCAAGUAUCUAUUAUGGACCCUCUUUUUCCGUCCUUAUCCUCUGAGAGAUAUGCACUAAAAUUUCAAAGGAUUUCAUUCUACCUGAAUGAUGCACUCGAAUUACCACAACCAGGUUGGAAGUCCGAUAUUUUCUUCUGGCCACGUAAAUCAGCAAUUGAUGUUCCAACGAGCCUAGAUCGGUAAGUUACUAUGAAAAUCACUAUGCAUAUUUUAUAUUUGUUGUCAUUAACUCCCAAAAUAAUGAUAGUGUAUUCAUCUAUAGGUACGAAUCUGGUUAUUUUAUUUUCCAUUAUAUGCUCUCAUCGUAUGGUAACAAAUUUGUUCGUCCAAUUUGCACGGUGAGUGUCCUAUAGCACAUGUUAAUAAAAAAACGAAGCAUAAUUGCAUGGUAAUGAGAUACACUGCUCAUGCAGGAUGGUUAUGAGCUGAGAAAGAAUUUUUGAUAUAUUUGCUCGACUAUCAUGCAAAUGAAGCUGACCAGUACAUCCCGUAUGAUAUACGACAAAUUCUCAAGUGCCUCAUGUAGGCAGUUAGUAAUCUCCCAUAUAAUAAAAGUGGACUUAUCUCUACACAUCGUUACUCAAACUCUUUUUUUUAUUGAUUUUUUUUUGUUCAUCUCCAUGGAUUUGUUAUUUGUAUUUUGCCAUACGUUGUGGCUAUAUAUUUAUAAUAUGAACCUGAGUACAAGAAGAUCCGUCCACCGUCCGUCACCACCGGUACGUGGCGGCCUCUUCCAUAUGGUUAUUUUGGUGGAUUCAAACUAUAACAUUGUAGACUGAUCACGUGGCAACGCACGGGCAUUUAACUAGUUAAGUCCAUAAGAACAGAAUAACGCCUUAACCAAGAUGACAUGAUGUAGAGGGAUAAUCUCAAACCAAUGAUAAAAACCCCAUCUUUUUACCCUUGAUGGCAACUACUUGAUGUGUGCCUUGCUGCCCCUACUGUCACUGGGAAAGGUCACCACAUGGUAGAACCCAAAACCAAGCACUUCUCCCAUUGCAAGAAUCAUAGAUCUAGUUGGCCAAACAAAACCCAAGACUUGGAGAGACUUACAAGGAUAUCAAAUCAUGCAUAUAAGAAAUCAGCAAAGACUCAAAUAUAUAUCAUAGAUAAUCUGAUCACAAAUCCACAAUUCAUCGGAUCUCGACAAACACACCGCCAAAGAAGAUUACAUCGGAUAGAUCUCCAUGAAGAUCAUGGAGAACUUUGUCUUGAAGAUCCAAGAGAGAGAAGAAGCCAUCUAGCUGAUGGGGAACGUCGCAUGGGAAACAAAAAAUUUCCUACGCGCACGAAGACCUAUCAUGGUGAUGUCCAUCUACGAGAGGGGAUGAGUGAUCUACGUACCCUUGUAGAUCGUACAGCAGAAGCGUUAGUGAACGCGGUUGAUGUAGUGGAACGUCCUCGCGUCCCUCGAUCCGCCCCGCGAACAAUCCCGCGAUCGGUCCCACGAUCUAGUACCGAACGGACGGCACCUCCGCGUUCAGCACACGUACAGCUCGACGAUGAUCUCGGCCUUCUUGAUCCAGCAAGAGAGACGGAGAGGUAGAAGAGUUCUCCGGCAGCGUGACGGCGCUCCGGACGUUGGUGAUGACCUUGUCUCAGCAGGGCUCUGCCCGAGCUCCGCAGAAACGCGAUCUAGAGGAAAACCGUGGAGGUAUGUGGUCGGGCUGCCGUGGAAAAGUCGUCUCAAAUCAGCCCUAAAACCUCUGUAUAUAUAGGUGGGAGGGAGGGGACCUUGCCUUGGGGCUCAAGGAGCCCCAAGGGGGUCGGCCGAGUCCAAGGGGGAAGGCUCCCCCCCAAAACCGAGUUGUACUUGGUUUGGUGGGUGGGAGUCCUUCCUUCCCUUCCCACCUCCUUUUUUUUUCUUUUCUCUUUGAUUUUCUUUCCUAGGCGCAUAGGGCCCCUUUUGGGCUGCCCACCAGCCCACUAAGGGCUGGUGUGCCACCCUCAUGGCCUAUGGGCUUCCCCAGGGUGGGUUGCCCCCCCCAGUGAACUCCCGGAACCGAUUCGUCAUCCCCGGUACAUUCCCGGUAACUCCGAAAACCUUCCGGUAAUCAAAUGAGGUCAUCCUAUAUAUCUAUCUUCGUUUCCGGACCAUUCCGGAAACCCUCGUGACGUCCGUGAUCUCAUCCGGGACUCCGAACAACAUUCGGUAACCAACCAUAUAACUCAAAUACGCAUAAAACAACGUCGAACCUUAAGUGUGCAGACCCUGCGGGUUCGAGAACUAUGUAGACAUGACCCGAGAGACUCCUCGGUCAAUAUCCAAUAGCGGGACCUGGAUGCCCAUAUUGGAUCCUACAUAUUCUACGAAGNUGGCCAAACAAAACCCAAGACUUGGAGAGACUUACAAGGAUAUCAAAUCAUGCAUAUAAGAAAUCAGCAAAGACUCAAAUAUAUAUCAUAGAUAAUCUGAUCACAAAUCCACAAUUCAUCGGAUCUCGACAAACACACCGCCAAAGAAGAUUACAUCGGAUAGAUCUCCAUGAAGAUCAUGGAGAACUUUGUCUUGAAGAUCCAAGAGAGAGAAGAAGCCAUCUAGCUGAUGGGGAACGUCGCAUGGGAAACAAAAAAUUUCCUACGCGCACGAAGACCUAUCAUGGUGAUGUCCAUCUACGAGAGGGGAUGAGUGAUCUACGUACCCUUGUAGAUCGUACAGCAGAAGCGUUAGUGAACGCGGUUGAUGUAGUGGAACGUCCUCGCGUCCCUCGAUCCGCCCCGCGAACAAUCCCGCGAUCGGUCCCACGAUCUAGUACCGAACGGACGACACCUCCGCGUUCAGCACACGUACAACUCGAUGAUGAUCUCGGCCUUCUUGAUCCAGCAAGAGAGACAGAGAGGUAGAAGAGUUCUCCAGCAGCGUGACGGCGCUCCGGAGGUUGGUGAUGACCUUGUCUCAGCAGGGCUCCGCCCGAGCUCUGCAGAAACGCGAUCUAGAGGAAAAACCGUUGAGGUAUGUGGUCGGGCUGCCGUGGAAAAGUCGUCUCAAAUCAGCCCUAAAACCUCCGUAUAUAUAGGUGGGAGGGAGGGGACCUUGCCUUGGGGCUCAACGAGCCCCAAGGGGGUCGGCCGAGUCCAAGGGGGAAGGCUCCCCCCAAACCGAGUUGGACUUGGUUUGGUGGGUGGGAGUCCUUCCUUCCCUUCCCACCUCCCUUUUUUUCUUUUCUCUUUGAUUUUCUUUCCUAGGCGCAUAGGGCCCCUUUUGGGCUGCCCCACCAGCCCUUACCCUCAAGGCCUAUGGGCUUCCCUAGGGUGGGUUGCCCCCCCCCCCCCGGUGAACUCCCGGAACCCAUUCGUCAUUCCCGGUACAUUCCCGGUAAAUCCGAAAACCUUCCGGUAAUCAAAUGAGGUCAUCCUAUAUAUCAAUCUUCGUUUCCGGACCAUUCCGGAAACCCUCGUGACGUCCGUGAUCUCAUCCGGGACUCCGAACUACAUUCGGUAACCAACCAUAUAACUCAAAUACGCAUAAAACAACGUCGAAUCUUAAGUGUGCAGACCCUGCGGGUUCGAGAACUAUGUAGACAUGAGCCGAGAGACUCCUCGGUCAAUAUCCAAUAGCGGGACCUGGAUGCCCAUAUUGGAUCCUACAUAUUCUACGAAGAUCUUAUCGUUUGAACCUCAGUGCCAAGGAUUCAUAUAAUCCCCUAUGUCAUUCCCUUUGUCCUUCGGUAUGUUACUUGCCCGAGAUUCGAUCGUCAGUAUCCGCAUACCUAUUUCAAUCUCGUUUACCGGCAAGUCUCUUUACUCGUUCCGUAAUACAANNNNNNNNNNNNNNNNNNNNNNNNNNNNNNNNNNNNNNNNNNNNNNNNNNNNNNNNNNNNNNNNNNNNNNNNNNNNNNNNNNNNNNNNNNNNNNNNNNNNCUGAGUUCCGUGUAUGUAAUCCAAGACUAGAUACUACCACAUGCUGGGCCCUGAAAUAUGACCCCGCUCGUCCUAUUAAUCGCGUAGUACUCGGUCCAGGAGUUGCAAGUAGUUUCUGGUGUUUAUAGUAAUGCUGGAGGCCGUGCAUGGUGCUGACCUGAGAGGUGGGCCGUGAUGCGGUAGGCAGUGGCACGGUGUACCAAGUGGCACCCGGAUGGUGGGCUUGGGAACCCUGCGCACAUCGUUUGAGGCCGUGGCGGAAACCUCGGCCGGACUUCCGUACGGGUUACUCUCAGAUAGGCGAUAAACCUGGACUAGGUACUAGCGCGGUUAACGGUCGUGGCCGACUCCCUCGCUGGGCUUCCGCUUGAAGGUUGCCGAGGUGCAUGACGUGCACAUGGCGAUAAGUGGCGGGAGCGUGUGUGACGAAGUACACCCCUGCAGGGUUAUGAUCUAUUCGAAUAGCCGCGUCCGCGGAUAUGGACUACUUUGAGACAUAUGUUGUUCAUAGAUAACCUCAAUGGCUACUCAUAAAAUUGUCCAAAUAAGCGUGAGUGUCGUGGACGGCAUUUCCGUACGGAUACGGAAUGAUUCCACGAUAGUGUAUUGUUGUGGUGUUAGUGGACUCGUGUGCGAGAAAUCAAGUUGUCAAAAUUAUUUAAAAUUGCAAGUUGUCUAGCCACGAGUCAAAUGUUGGCUUUCCGCUUGAAACCCCACAAUACCUUUUGAUACCUCGCAUGAGUAGUUAGUUCUCCUAAAGUCUUGCUGAGUACCUUCGUACUCAUGUUUUCUUAAUAAAUGUUGCAGAGGUUGCUAAUGACCCUAAUGGAGGGUUCUUCGUAGACAUCGACGACGACGAGUAGCUGGUGUCCCAGCUACGAUCUGGCCCUACGUCGGCUCUGUAGUAUAGUCAGGCCACGUGCCUUCUAGUUGCUCUGUCUGUACCCAGACAGUUUAUAACUCUUCCANUGGCUUUCCGCUUGAAACCCCACAAUACCUUUUGAUACCUCGCAUGAGUAGUUAGUUCUCCUAAAGUCUUGUUGAGUACCUUCGUACUCAUGUUUGCUUAAUAAAUGUUGCAGAGGUUGCUAAUGACCCUAAUGGAGGGUUCUUCGUAGACAUCGACGACGACGAGUAGCUGGUGUCCCAGCUACGAUCUGGCCCUACGUCGGCUCUGUAGUAUAGUCAGGCCACGUGCCUUCUAGUUGCUCUGUCUGUACCCAGACAGUUUAUAACUCUUCCACUGGCUUGUAUUGUGUGACUGCUAUUGUGGGUCGUGAGACCCUUAAUGUGUAAUAUUAUGUGUGUGGCUCUUCCGAGCCUCUUAAAUAAAGCUUGUAUGUUUAUGGUUAUGUUGUGAUGCCAUCGAUGUAUCUAUACAUAUCGGUAUGCCAUGCGUACGUGUGUCAUACUUGAUAUGUAUGGGGUUCGAUUACCUAGUCGUGAACUUUAGUAGCACUCCUUACAAGGAAAUGCCCCUUUGUGGUCCAACGAGCCUUGGUAGUUCGCUACUGCUCCAGACACAUUGGUUGACCGGCAUGUGUCCUUCUUAGCUGCUGUGUCUGUCCCCUUUGGGGAAAUGUCACGCGAUGUAAUGGAGUCCUUGUAGCUUGCUACGACUCGUCUACAUUCGCCGGUGACCGACACCUGCUUUGUUGGGUCAUGUAUGCCUGUCCUUGUGCGGUACUGCCACUUUGGUUUAUGACUAGACAUGUCGAUCCGGGUUCUUUGACAUUGGAUUGCUAGCGAUACUAUCGCAUACGUGAGUCAAAAGACGCAAACGGUCCCGGCUAAGGUAAGGCUGCAGCCGUGGAGUUAACCGUGCGUGAGACCACAAAGGGAUGCGAUUGAUUACAGGCUAGAUUCCUAUGGCUUAGGAUCGGGGUCCCGACAGCGUUGAUAUCAGAGCCUGACUGACUGUAGGAUUACUAAGCCAAACUGGUCGAAGUUGAGUCUAGAAAUGCUUUAGUUAUAUAUAAGGGAAUUGUUUGUGGAAGGGAACGUAACACUCUUGUUCUCUUCUCAAGGUAUUCUAUUCUGGUCAUCCUCGUCUUUUCUGCGGGAAUUAAGGACUAGGUUACUCAUCUUCUCCUAGGCUCGGAUUUUUGAUCGGUAGAUUAUAGGACUACGGGUCGAGAGAUAUUGGGUUUCUUUUAUUCCUAGGAGGCAGGAAGUAAGUUUGAUGAUCAGAGAGUUGAACUUGAUAGUUGAGUGGUGACGCUAUUUCAUUUUUGGGUUGUCUCAAAAUUUGUUUUUGAGCAUUUACAGCCGUUAUGCUGCCCAAUUUUUGCAUUCAGAGCUCUAAUGCUUCUGCAUUACUCUCUAUUUACAGAUGCCUGGCUGUCCUUCUCGUCAGGUGGUACGUCUGACCAGGUGCAUUGAUGUACCAGGUCAUACGGCCAUGCUCGUCAGGAUGAUGUCGGUGUGCGGUUACCGCUGGUACCCCAAGUACACGGUAGAGGAACAGUACCGAGACUUCAACCAGAGCCAGUACAUCUGCACUGUUAGGGUAUUUCCAGACUACCCUGGAGCGGAGAAGCCAAUCCAUUGGUCCUAUGGGUUGGGAGUCACUGUUGACAUGGCAGUACAGCAUGCUGCCUAUUCAAUGCUGACUAUCAUGAGAGCGAGACAUGCACUGCUGCAGAAUUCAGAGUUCUGCUAUGUUCCGGCCUCUCAGUCUGGCGAAGAGGGAUACAUCAAUGGAGUCUAUUUUGAUUCUUCUAUGGAGGACCCACUUCUGCAGUCCACCGUUGAGAUGCUAGAGAACAGAGAUAGGGAUGCUCGUGCUCUCCGCAUGGAGCUUUAUGCUACCCGUGCCCGUCUGUGGACAGCUUUGACGCAGCUGGCACCGGUAGUCCAGACAGGGUAUGGAGAGAUGGAGAUGCUGAACCCUGUUAGGACCCAUCUUUCGGCCCACGUUGACUGGCCAGCUAUAGGAGGAGUCACACCUCUUCGGGGCCCCCUCUUACCACCAGUCAGGGGACCAAGGCCACAUCCGUGUCCUUAUGGAUCCCAGGGAUCUCAGGCUAGAGUGUUUCCUGAUCCGCAGGUUGAGCUUCCAGGUCAUGGAGGUAAUCUCUAUGAGAUGUUCUAUGCGGAUGCCUGAGCUGUGAGCGGAAGGAUAGUAUGGUAGUAGCCGUACGUUCACAGUCCUGUGUGACUUGUGGAGUAUGGUAGUAAUGUGAAACGAAUUCCGGAGGCCUAGAUAAAUAAUGCAUAGGAAGCUUGUAAGCCUCUGAUGAGUAGUUCCACCAUUUCAGUAGUUUGCUCUUCGAGUAAGUUUGUACUGAACUAUGUAAGGGUGUGUAUGAACCAUGGUGUAUAUAUAGCAGUUGCUUGUUACCAUGUUGUUCGGAUAUUCAUUUCCGCAUUCCGUGUGUUCAGUACAUUCUUAAUCCAUAGCUAGUAAUGAUUUGAUAUUGGUCUAAGCUAUGAGUUUGUUUGUCAGGAUGGUGUUCACCAGGUUGAACCGUGCCCUAGCCCAUGAGCAAGGUGAGGGUAGUCAAGCGUCGCAGGAAGACCUGCCUCACCCACCCUCUCUGGUAGAAGUGAUGCUUGAGGCAGAGAGAAACAAAAGGGAGACCAACCGACUGUUAGAGCGUAUUGAGCAGAAUACGACGGCUCGACAGCCUAGGAAUGCUGCAGUAUCCCUCAAUGACUUUGUGAAGCUGAAUCCUCCAAAGUUUCAUCAUUCCGUCGAUCCCCUCGAUGCUGAUGACUGGCUAUGCAAGAUUCGCUCGGCAAAUGUAUCUGAAGCCGACAAGGUGACCUUCGCGACGUAUUUCCUGGAGGGACCCGCCAAUCUAUGGUGGGAGAAUUUUGAAGCUAUGCGUCCCGCUGAACCAGUGGCCACAUGGGCAGACUUCAGUGCAGCUUUUCGUCUGCACCAUAUUCCAGAGGGCCUGAUGGACAGAAAGAGAGAGGAGUUCUGUGCCUUCACUCAGGGCAAGUUGUCUGUGGAUGCCUAUAGCCGCGAGUUCGGUAACCUCGCCCGCUAUGCAACAGAGGAGGUGUCUACUGACGCCAAGAAGCAAGCAAGAUUCCGUAAGGGUCUGAGCCCUGAGCUCCGUCGAGAUCUGCGCCUCCAUGAGUGUGCAAGCUUUCAAGCCCUGGUCAACAAAGCGAUCAGUGCGGAGACUGGUCAUACUGACUUCGAAGCCACAAGGAAGCACUCCCGUGACUUUGGCUCGUCUUCUGGUUCCGCGUUUCCAAAACGCAGGCUGUGGGUUCCAAACAGUUCUCUGCCGCCAAGAUACACUCCGAGGCCAUCCUACGUGGCGCCUCAGACGAAUCAGGCCAACCCUCCAGCAAAAGCUUAUGGUGGUCCAGCUGGCAAUGCUGCACCACGUGCCAACCAGGUGAUAUGCUACAAGUGUGGAGAACCAGGGCAUUAUUCCCGUGAGUGUCCUUAGAAUGUGGGUGCCAAGCAACCCGGAAAGUCCGUCGGGCAUGCCAAGUCGGGCAAAGCGUUUUAUGUGAAGCCAACUCCUGCACGUGGCCGUGUGAACUAUGUGUCAGCAGAAGAAGCUUCAGAGGAUCCCGACGUCAUGCUGGGUACGCUUCUUGUUAAUCAUCACCCAGCGUCCGUUCUCUUUGACACUGGGUCUUCUCAUUCGUUCAUUUCAAAAAGUUAUGCACAGUUGCAUAACAUGUCAUUUUGUGAUAUGCCAAUCCCAUUGGUUGUCCAAACCCCUGGUAGUAAGUGGCAAACCUCUAGGAUAACCUAUGGCAAUGAAAUUCUAGUAGACAGGCUAGUUUUUCUAGCCUCAUUGAUAGCAUUGAAAUCUUCGGAUAUUAAUAUCAUCUUGGGCAUGGACUGGAUGUCAGCUCACUAUGCCAAGAUUGAUACUCACUCUAGAAAUGUCCAGCUUACCCAUCCCUCGGGUGAGAUAGUAAAUGUCUCUACUCGAGCUGCCAAAUGCCAGCUCUAUUCCCUAAAUGCCAACCCUCUUCCGGAACUUGAAGACAUUCCGGUAGUCCGUGACUUCCCGGAUGUUUUUCCAGAGGAACUGCCAGGAAUUCCACCUGACAGAGAUGUAGAGUUUGUGAUAGAUCUUGUUCCGGGAACUGUCCCAAUAGCCAGAAGACCUUAUAAGAUAGCACCCCUGGAGCUAGCCGAACUUAAGAAGCAACUAGAUGAGGCCUUGAGUAAAGGUUUCAUUCGUCCUAGCUCUUCCCCUUGGGCUUGCCCCGUCCUCUUCGUCAAGAAGAAAGACGGAACGGAUCGGAUGGUUGUAGAUUACCGACCAGUUAACCUGGUCACCAUAAAGAACAAGUAUCCGCUUCCCAGGAUCAACGACCUGUACGAUCAGCUCGCUGGAUCCUCAGUCUUCUCCAAAAUGGAUUUGAGGUUGGGAUACCAUCAAAUCAAGAUUAAGAACGGGGACAUUCCAAAAACGGCUUUUGUUACUCGUUAUGGCCAAUAUGGGUACACCGUUAUGUCCUUCGGUUUAACCAAUGCCCCAGCCACCUUCUCUCGGCUGAUGAAUUCAAUCUUUAUGGAGUAUUUGGAUAAAUUCGUCGUAGUAUACCUCGAUGAUAUUCUCAUCUACUCAAAGGAUGAACAAGAACAUGCCGAGCAUCUAAGGAUGGUAUUGAUGAAACUUCGAGAGCAUCGCCUUUAUGCCAAAUUUUCAAAAUGUGAAUUCUGGUUACCAGAAGUGGCCUAUCUAGGCCACGUAAUCUCUGGUAAGGGUAUUGCUGUCAAUCCCGAGAGAGUUCAAGCUGUCCUUGAUUGGACUCAACCUGAAUCGGUUAAGCAAGUUAGGAGUUUUCUUGGUCUAGCGAGCUAUUGUCGCCGCUUCGUCGAGAAUUUCUCCAAGGUUGCAAAGCCUCUAACUGAACUCCUCAAGAAGGAUAAAAAGUUCGAGUGGACACCACAGUGUGAGCAUAGUUUUCAGGAACUGAAAAGACGCCUGACUUCCGCACCUGUGUUGCUACCACCAGAUUUUUCUAAGGACUUUGUUAUCUAUUGCGACGCCUCGCGACAAGGAUUAGGUUGCAUUCUCAUGCAAGAUCGUCAUGUGAUCGCAUACGCAUCUCGACAGUUGCGACCACUUGAGGAUAAUUAUCCCACACAUGACCUUGAGCUUGCAGCUGUGGUCCAUGCACUAAAAACCUGGCGACAUUACCUUUUGGGUAAUCGUUGCGAAAUAUUCACUGAUCACCAAAGUCUGAAAUAUAUCUUCACCCAGUCGGAUUUGAAUCUCAGGCAAAGACGGUGGGUUGAGUUGAUCUCGGAUUACGACUUAGGGAUAACUUACACCCCGGGGAAGGCCAAUGUUAUGGCCGAUGCACUAAGUCGUAAAUCUUAUUGUAACAAUUUGAUGCUACAACAAGGUCAACCACUUCUCCAUAAGGACUUUCGGAAGUUGAAUCUUCAUAUUGUUCCUCAAGGAUUCCUUUCUACCCUGGUGGCGAAGCCUACUCUUAAGGAUCAAAUUAUAGCUGGCCAAAAGCGUGACAAGGGUAUAUCACGGAUCAAGGAGAAUAUUUUUAGCGGAAACGCUAAAGAAUUUUCCAUAAAUGAUCAAGGUGUGGUAUUCUUCCAGAAUCGUUUAGUGGUUCCUAAGAACCCACAUCUAAGGCAGGUAAUCCUUAAGGAGGCUCAUGAUUCCCCUCUCACCAUUCAUCCCGGUAGUACUAAGAUGUAUCAGGACCUACGCCAGAGGUUCUGGUGGACUAGGAUGAAGAGAGAAAUUGCUGAGUUCGUUGCUAACUGCGACGUCUGUCGUCGAGUUAAGGAAGAACAUCAAAGGCCUGCUGGCACCCUUCAACCUUUAGCUAUUCCUGAAUGGAAAUGGGAUAAAGUUAGCAUGGAUUUCAUUACCGGAUUUCCCAAGACCAAGAAAGGAAAUAAUGCUAUCUUUGUGGUCAUUGACCGUCUUUCCAAAGUGGCUCAUUUUCUUCCUGUUCGUGAGAGUAUAACAGCUAGCCAGCUAGCAGAGUUAUAUAUGUCUCGAAUAGUGUCUCUUCAUGGUGUUCCCCUGGAAAUUAACUCGGACCGUGGAAGUAUCUUUACUUCUCGCUUCUGGGAAAGCUUUCAGAAUGCCAUGGGGACUCACUUAUCUUUUAGCACUGCUUUCCAUCCCCAGUCAAGUGGUCAAGUAGAAAGAGUGAAUGAAAUCCUAGAAGAUAUGCUCCGAGCUUGUGUUAUUUCGUUCGGUAUGAAUUGGGAGAAGUGUCUUCCAUUCGCCCAAUUCGCUUAUAACAAUAGUUAUCAAUCAAGCUUGGGCAAAGCCCCUUUUGAAGUUCUCUAUGGACGAAGAUGUCGAACACCUCUUAAUUGGUCAGAAACCGGAGAGAGGCAACUCUUUGGCCCGGACAUGAUCCAGGAUGCAGAAGAGCAGGUUCGCAUUAUUCGUGAAAAGUUGAAAACAGCCCAGUCUCGUCAAAAGAGCCAAUAUGAUCGCCAUCAUAAGGCUGUGACCUUUGAAGUUGACGAGAAGGCUUAUCUUCGGGUUACACCUUUGAGGGGUACCCAUCGUUUCGGUAUCAAGGGCAAGUUGGCUCCUCAUUACAUUGGACCUUUUCGCAUUCUUGCCAAACGAGGAGAAGUUGCCUACCAGUUGGAACUUCCUCCGCAUCUUCCCAAAGUUCAUGAUGUUUUCCACGUCUCGCAACUCAGGCGUUGCUUUUCGGAUCAUAUCCGUGAAGUGGACCACGAAACGUUUGAUCUCCAAGAUAACCUUUCUUACCGAGAAUACCCCGUGCGUAUUCUUGAUCAAGCUGAGCGUACCACUCGACGUCGAAACCUCAAGUUUCUUAAAGUUCAAUGGUCAAAUCAUUCUGAAAAGGAGGCAACUUGGGAAAGAGAGGAUCGUCUCCGACUUGAAUAUCCUGCGUUAUUCCCGACGACUUCUAAAUCUCGGGACGAGAUUCUUUUGAGUGGGGGUGAGUUGUCACAUCCCUAAACCUUAAGCUAGAUAGCAUUGUGCUCAUGUCUUCUUUCCAUUUGCAUCUAAUAAGUUUCAACAAAAACAACAAAGUGGCAAAGGAAAAACUCAAAACCCUAGCCACCAUUUCAAUUAAAGGAAAUUUCAAACUAGUUCAAAAUCAAUGAACCCAAAAUGGCCUCAAGAAAUGUUCAAACUUUCUGAUAAAUCAUGAAAGCAAAUGAGCAUUGGAGAAAACUAUUUUCUUGACACUUCAAGCAUUUUAAAUAAAUGCAAAAGCCACUGGUUUCAAAUCUAAAAAUUUGAAAACAGAAGCUAUAAUUUUCCAAAAAUGUUGAAAGUCUUGGAAAUGAGUGGGGACAUUUUAACAAAUAUUUCAGGAGGUUUAAAUUUUUUUUACUUUUUGUUUUGGAGCUGAAAUAAAUAGCAAAGCAAUAAAUAGCAAAACAGAAAAAAAACAGAAAAGGAGAAAAUAGAGAAAGACUUACCUAACGCCCACGCCAGGCCCAGCCCAUCUCGCCGCUCGUCCCCUUCCCCGCGCCAGUAGGCAGCAGGAGGUGGCCGCCGCCUCCUCCGGCGCGGCCACGCACCUGCGUGCCUGCCUGGCCGCCGGUUCGCGCUGGCGACGGCGGGGAUAAGCUCCCCAGAGCCUCCCCUAUCCAUUCCCCGCCUCGGUUCUCCUCCUCCGCCCGGAUCCCCUCCUUCUCCCUGCUGCCGCCAUUAGAGCCGAGCUCGAGCUCGAGCUGGCCGUUGCCCUGGCCAUAGGAACCCCUCCCCGAGCAUGCCAUUAGAUCCGCCUCGUCGCCCUGGUCGUCUCUGCAGAAGCCGAAGUCCCCUCGAGCCCUGCAAGCCGAAGUCCCCUCGAGCCGUCGUCUUCUUCAUCCGGCCGCGAGACAUCUCCCGUCGAUUCGUCGCCCCCAGGCCUUCCCCGAGCCGUCUGAGCUCUUCUCUGCACUCCCUGUGAGCAUGCGGUGGUUUCCCCUAAGCUUUCCCCGUCGAUCCCCUUCUCUAGUCCUAGUUUCACCGGAGCCCGACGAGCACUGCCGCUGCCGCUCGUCGCCGGUAGCCCUCCGAUGUCCAGCUCGUCCUCCCGUGAGCACCAGAAGCUCCAGGACAACGCGUAGAUGCCGUAGCAGCUAAGAACUAAGCGUGGAUCCCCCUGAUUCGAAGCCCCCGACGACGCCAGAGCUUCGGCCGCCGCUCCGGCUCGUCGCCGACGCCUCUUCCGGUGACCCUAGCCUCCCCAGUUGGUCCUGCCAGAUCGGCCGCUUCGCGAGCUUGCUUUAGCUGCCAACCGCGUGCGAUUUGGUGUUGUGCAGCGCCGUCUAGGUCGCCUCCGGCGAACCCUCCGCCGCGGGUUUGGUCGCCGGCGACCACCCUCCGGUGGCCGUCGACGUGGCCGGCCAUUAGGGCCUAAUCGCCCUCCUCUGAGUCGCUGACAGAGGGCCCCACGCCUGGUCAAACCCCAAUUAGGGGCUGGUCAGCGCGGGAUUAGCCCAGAGAGGCUGACCAGUGGGGCCCCCCCUGUCAGGUUUGACCUGCACAGGUCGGCUGACUUGCUGACGUCAGCCUGAUGCAAUAAAUGGAAUUUCCAGUAUAAAAAUAAUUCAGGAAAUUGCUAAAAAUUGCAAAAAUCAUAGAAAUUAAUCUGUAACUCCAAUGAAAAUAAUUUAUAUAUGAAAAAGUAUCAGAAAAAUUCAAGGAUUCUGAUUAUGCUAUUUUCAACUAUGUUUGAAAAAGUUACAGAACCCUAAAUUGUGAAAUAAGGAAUAAUUCAAUUCUUUUAAUCACUUUAUAAAUGGAAUUUGCAAAAAUAUCCAAAUUUCAUUAUAAAUGCAAUGAUCACACACUGCCCUAGAUGUAAAUCAGUACCAUAACAUAAAAUUUCAUGCAUGUUAAUUUUAGGUUGAUCUGAGCAUCAGGUCGAAUCAAUUAAACCGGUAUCCGGGAAUACCCAUUUGAGUUUCUAUUCGAAUGUGAUUCAAAUCAACUCUAAACUUAAAACAUCUUGAUUAUAAUAACUUAUCACUUUGCAUUCUCAUGCCAUGCUCAUGCAUCAUUUUGAUUGCAUAUGAUUCUUAUUGAAUGUUGCCGUUCAUUUCGGUAGGCUCCGCACCCCCGGAUUCCACCGAAUAUCCGUCCGACGGAUAUCGUUCCUCCUCUGAGUAACAAGGCAAGCACCCUCUUUUGAUCAUCCCGAUAACACCUAUGUUCUUGCUCCUGCACCUAUUUAAUGCAUUAGGAUCAAAUGCUACAACUGCUUUUGCCACGAUAGUUGGACCCACUUCCUUUGCAUGACUUAACCUUGUCACAGUAAAUAGCCGAACCUUGCAACCUAGCAUACCUGGUAGAUGCUUGAGCUAUGAUGUGCCUUAUCCUGCUAUGCAUGCUAUGCUUAGAGUUGUGUAUGGUCUGUCAUCUGGGAGAUGAACAGAAAUGUGGAAUGUGUUCGGUAAGCAAAGGUCGUGUGUUAAACUUGAUUUGGUAAAGGUACCGGUGAAAGGCUGUGUAGGAGUACAUGGCGGGUUGUUUCAUUGGAACCGUCCUUUAGGACCUGAGUUCCGUGUAUGUAAUCCAAGACUAGAUACUACCACAUGCUGGGCCCUGAAAUAUGACCCCGCUCGGCCUAUUAAUCGCGUAGUACUCGGUCCAGGAGUUGCAAGUAGUUUCUGGUGUUUAUAGUAAUGCUGGAGGCCGUGCAUGGUGCUGACCUGAGAGGUGGGCCGUGAUGCGGUAGGCAGUGGCACGGUGUACCAAGUGGCACUCGGAUGGUGGGCUUGGGAACCCUGCGCACAUCGUUUGAGGCCGUGGCGGAAACCUCGGCCGGACUUCCGUACGGGUUACUCUCAGAUAGGCGAUAAACCUGGACUAGGUACUAGCGCGGUUAACGGUCGUGGCCGACUCCCUCGCUGGGCUUCCGCUUGAAGGUUGCCGAGGUGCAUGACGUGCACAUGGCGAUAAGUGGCGGGAGCGUGUGUGACGAAGUACACCCCUGCAGGGUUAUGAUCUAUUCGAAUAGCCGCGUCCGCGGAUAUGGACUACUUGGAGACAUAUGUUGUUCAUAGAUAACCUCAAUGGCUACUCAUAAAAUUGUCCAGAUAAGCGUGAGUGUCGUGGACGGCAUUUCCGUACGGAGACGGAAUGAUUCCACGAUAGUGUAUUGUUGUGGUGUUAGUGGACUCGUGUGCGAGAAAUCAAGUUGUCAAAAUUAUUUAAAAUUGCAAGUUGUCUAGCCACGAGUCAAAUGCUGGCUUUCCGCUUGAAACCCCACAAUACCUUUUGAUACCUCGCAUGAGUAGUUAGUUCUCCUAAAGUCUUGCUGAGUACCUUCGUACUCAUGUUUGCUUAAUAAAUGUUGCAGAGGUUGCUAAUGACCCUAAUGGAGGGUUCUUCGUAGACAUCGACGACGACGAGUAGCUGGUGUCCCAGCUACGAUCUGGCCCUACGUCGGCUCUGUAGUAUAGUCAGGCCACGUGCCUUCUAGUUGCUCUGUCUGUACCCAGACAGUUUAUAACUCUUCCGCUGGCUUGUAUUGUGUGACUGCUAUUGUGGGUCGUGAGACCCUUAAUGUGUAAUAUUAUGUGUGUGGCUCUUCCGAGCCUCUUAAAUAAAGCUUGUAUGUUUAUGGUUAUGUUGUGAUGCCAUCGAUGUAUCUAUACCUAUCGGUAUGCCAUGCGUACGUGUGUCAUACUUGAUAUGUAUGGGGUUCGAUUACCUAGUCGUGAACUUUAGUAGCACUCCUUACAAGGAAAUGCCCCUUUGUGGUCCAACGAGCCUUGGUAGUUCGCUACUGCUCCGGACACAUUGGNUAGUCGGUAUGCCAUGCGUACGUGUGUCGUACUUGAUAUGUAUGGGGUUCGAUUACCUAGUCGUGAACUUUAGUGGCACUCCUUACAAGGAAAUGCCCCUUUGUGGUCCAACGAGCCUUGGUAGUUCGCUACUGCUCCGGACACAUUGGUUGACCGGCAUGUGUCCUUCUUAGCUGCUGUGUCUGUCCCCUUUGGGGAAAUGUCACGCGAUGUAAUGGAGUCCUUGUAGCUUGCUACGACUCGUCUACAUUCGGCGGUUACCGACACCUGCUUUGUUGGGUCAUGUAUGCCUGUCCUUGUGCGGUACUGCCACUUUGGUUUAUGACUAGACAUGUCGAUCCGGGUUCUUUGACAUUGGAUUGCUAGCGAUACUAUCGCAUACGUGAGUCAAAAGACGCAAACGGUCCCGGCUAAGGUAAGGCUGCAGCCGUGGAGUUAACCGUGCGUGAGACCACAAAGGGAUGCGAUGGAUUACAGGCUAGAUUCCUAUGGCUUAGGAUCGGGGUCCCGACAACAUGUCAAUAAUUUUGCAUUUGGGACUAAGUCUAUGAUUGAGAAGAUUAGGGAGAUGGAGGUGUCCCUAGCUGUCAUGACAUGUGAGGCUCUUGACACAAGCUUAAAUAUCAUCGCCAACCAGGAUGCAACACUUUGUAUGUACCACUCUCGCAUCAUGGACUUGGAGGUUGCCAAUAAGCUCAUGAUGAACGCCCUCACUCGUGUCACAACUUCAUUUCCAUGAGAGAACACCGAUAUCAAUAAAAAGGAGACUAAAUGAAUCCAGCCGUCUUAGCAUGUUAAGAUUGGGGGGAUUUUGAGGUCCUUUUUGUUUCCCUUUUUAUUAUUAUUNNNNNNUAUUUAUUGAAGUUUAUUUAAUUUUUUCCAGGCUUGAAUAAAUAAGGACAAUCAUGCUUUCCUAGUAAGAGAGAUGAGUUUUAUCCGUUGAGUCAGGGAUGGUUUGAUGAGUGGUCUAUUCUGAUCUUGAUGAAUUUUCUUAGUGUGAUAAUGCAUCCUUGUUUGCUAGAUAUCUUCACUUUUAUAUGAUGAUUAUAAGUCCUCCACAUCCUUAGUAUCAAUCAGGAAUGAGAAGUUGAUAACUUGAUGUGAUGCAUUAAACCUCAUUUCUGAUUAUUUGUGGUUACUUGGCUAGGUUUCUUAAACCAAUGGUCCAAGUAAGAAAAAUGGACAAGUUUUUCUUGCAUAUAAACAAAACACAGUAAUCCAAUAAUAUUUAUAAAAUUCGAGUACUUGAACUUGGACGUUGUCGGAUUUCGGGCUCCGCAAAACCCUAAGGAUUCGAACACACGGGCGUGUACGGCGAUCUCUCCCGGCUCGACCCUACCUAGCCCGCUACCCGAUGGAAACAAUGAAGGACUCACUCGAUGGUGAGGGGAACACAGAACAUAAUAGUUUACCCAAGUUCGGGCCGAUGCGAAGUGUAAAACCCUACUCCUGCUUUUGGUGGAUUGCCUCUCGCGGAGGUGGGUGGAUGAACUAGUACAGUGCUCUUGAGCCUCCGGAGGCCAAGUGACUAGGCGUGUCGUUCUCGGGUUUCAGUGAUCCGAUCCCCCUGCCAAGUAUCCUACUCUCCCUCCUUAUAGUGGAGGCCCGAGUCCUCUUCCCUUAUCAUUGGCAGGAAGGGAUCCCACAACGGCCAUUUUCGAUGGGGGACAAGGGAACAUUCUUCCCCUGUCAAAAGUGGUAUUCGCCUGCAAAGUAGCUGCCAGCGCCGUAGAGGUGAGCGCAGGGAUGACACUCAUCCUGUCGGUGGGCAGCCGUGGUCUUGUUGCACCGGAAGGGAAACCUUUGGAAGAUGCCUUUGGAGCCAUGGGACGCUCCCACCUCCUUUGCACUAAAGGGGAAACUGUCUUGUCCUGCCAUCCUCCGCUCGCCUGUCCUUCCCUGGCGCCACCUUUGACUCCUGAGGCCCUGCCUUGCCUCGAAAUUUCCGCCGCUCCGGAGGGGUCCAAAGGAGGCCCCCUGCGGGUCUUGAUGUCGCUCUUCCUGGCAAGGCUUGGCCCCUCACGAGGGCCUUGUCCAGGGUGGUCAUGUGCUAGUUGAUCUUGUUGGUGAAGUGGGUCUGCCUUGGGCCGCACGUAGGCAGGUCUGGGUACCCCCAUUCCCAAAACACCGACAGUAGCCCUCGGGCCCAAGGCGUGCGUGGGUUGGCUUCUUGGCGAAGCCUUGAAGGCGUCCCGAAGCAUUGCAUGCCCCAAUUGCAUGCGGGUCAGGCGACCCACGUGACCCGUAGCUGCGCGGCAAUGCUCUCGCUCCUCGAGGCACCCGGGUGGUGCCAGGGCGUGACGAUGCGAUCAACAAGAGUCACGCAUGCCAUCAUGUUGCUCAUUGUAUGUGACCACACCCAACGGCCCUCGCGGAUGUAACCGGUCGGUGGACAUGUGAGGCGAUGUGGGCAGCAAUGCUUCCGUCGGCCCACCUCUCGGCCCUCGUGGGGCGUGCAACUCCCACGUUCCCGUGACGGUUGGUGGCUAGGGCUCGCCUAUAAAUUUGUCGUGCCCCCUUCGGGGGGGCGCAACCUCGAGCUUCUUCUCUACUUCAUCCGUCUACCACGAGAAAACCUCUUCUCUCCUUCACCCUUCGUCUUCAUGGCGUCCCGCAGAGACGGUUCUGGCCAGGGGAAGCGUGCGACGCCUCCUGCGCCUUCGUCCGCCCCCGGCGGCAGCGGCGGAGGGUCCUGAGGGCCUACACGCGUCCACCACUGCUAGGUUAUGGCUGAUGAGUAAGUCCUUCAUUGCGCCUCUUCGCUUGUUGCUUCACCUAUUGCCCCACGGUUGAUUGUCCUUCUUCUUCAGCGUGCCCUCCUCCAAGAAGCCAAAGCUCGGCGAGCUCCAAGAGGAGGUGGAAGAGCUUCAGGCCCGGCUUGAGAGUGCCCAGGCCACCCUCAGUGCCUCCUGCCAAGGCGAGGCGGAGGCCAAAGAGGAGCUAGCAUCACUGCAGCAUCAGGUCCGAGAGGCGGCGGACGCCGUGCAAGCCGCUCAGGACGAGACGUCGUACGCCCGGCUGAUGGCGUCCUAGCUAGCCCUGCAAUUCGCGGACAUCGGUGACCAGGCGACCACCGUGACGCGCCGGUUUGCGGGGAAGGUCCCGUGUUGCCUAACGUGAGGAGCGACAGGGGCUACGUCGUCUUAUUCCAGGAGGUCCUGGAGGCGCUAGAGGCUGGCGUUCACCGCGUGGAGGAGGAAAGCGCGUCCAGCGCGCGCGAGAUUCUGGGCCUUGCCCUGGUGCUCGUCUUCUCCAACUUGCACCACCUUGCUCCACAGCUCGACCUUCGGCGUGUCGUCAAAUCGACGCCUCUUGAGUCCUGCCGUCUUAUCCGGGAUGAGGUCCGCCCGCAUGUGGACGCCCUGGUGGGGCGGUAUGUCCAGGCGCCUGUCUCGAGCGAGGAGGGUGAUCCAGACGCCGGGCCAGCUGGCGCCAUGGGUGAUGUCAACAACCCCUCCCCUUAGUGCCCCAAGCUUGUGUUUGCCUGCUCCUGUAACAGUGGGUUAAGAACUCUGCCCUGCCGGGCGUUAAGCUUUUGCCAUUAUUACCUUCGCCGCUCUCCUCUUUUUUUUUCCCCUGAGCUCAUGGCUUGCAUGUUGAUGGUCGUUGCGGCCGGGAUGCAAAGCUUAGGGCACGUCGUCGCACCUGUCGUGGCUUGGGACGACGAGGGAAGCGCGACCUUUUCAAAGUCCUGCCCUCCUAAGUCUCCUCUCGUGCCGCCGUGUGCUUGGGUGUUGGACUUGCUCCUUGCUACCAUUGAAUCCUUAGGCCCUGCAUUCUUUCGUUAGUGCGCAUGUUUUUAAUUCACCGUUAGUUUGUCAUAAAGCGAGAGGGUCCCGGUCACGUCCUGCAGGCACUUAGCUCAUGGGUUUGUGUCGGUCCCUUGCGUAGUUCCUCCUGUGCAGCUCGUGUUUCGUAAGUGGGACGAUGUGAAGACCCUUUUGGCACUCUAUGUCUGCAUGUCCCGGUCCCGCACAUUUCCCUGCCGCCGUGAGGCUCAGCCCGUUACCAAGGCUGCUCCUUACGGGGCAAAGCCCUGGCACCCUGGGGGCCGAGUGGCUUUGCGACUAGUAAGGCUCCUGAGGCGCACUGCUCAGGAGCCCCCCUUGACACUCAAGCCGCUCUACGUCGUCAGGCCCCAGCCUUAAUGGUCGAUAAGGCUCCCGAGGUGCACCCAGGAACCCCCCUUUCUGGCACCCGAGUGAUUCCGCACUUUGUUCCUUUGGUCAUCGCCCCAGGGGCCCUGAGGCCUCCCGAGACUCUUUGUGGUGGUAUCAAGCUUCGGUCCGGAUCACCGAGCGGGGGAUUGACCACUGAAAAACAUUGCCCCUGAGGUGACAAGUCCUUGCGUUCAUGCUCCUUGACUCCUAGGGGUGGUGCGGAGCGGUUGUCUCCAAACACGUCCUCCAGAUGGGAGGUUUCAAAGCCAGUGAAAUAAGAAAUGCCAGAGAAAGUCCCCCCCUUUUAUUUUUCGAACGUCGGGCAUUGAGACUGGAAAAAACCAACUUUUGAAAUCGGCCAGUUCAAACUCAAUAGAAGAUAGUUUGAAUCCAAGAAAAAGAAAGCAAGCACCGCGUCCGUCAUUAAAGCUGGCAUAGUCAUUGGCGGACUAUAUGGGUUUCCUUGCCAGCUGUGAGCAUGGUCAUUGGCGGACCAUGCUAAUUGCCUUCGUCUUUUACCGAGUGCGGAGCAUAGGUCUUCCACUAGGCGUGGGUGGACCCCUUCCGCGUCCUUGGGGGGCCCUGGGGGUAUACAACCUCGGUUUGUUAUUACAUGAGAGAGUCACGGUGGGGGUGUAUAUGGGAGGUCGCGAGGAUGCUUUGGCCUAGCGAGUGUCCCUACCCCCGAGGCAUUGGGGCCUGAGCUCCUAGAGUCAUUGGUGGACUCUGUUGUACCCAACGCGGAGCAUAGGUCUUCCACUAGGCGUGGGGUGGACCCCUUCCGCGUCCUUAGGGGGCCCUGGGCGUAUACAGCCUCGGCUCGUUAUUACGUGAGAGUGUCAUGGGAUGAAGUAGGUUCCAGAAGGAUUGAAGGACGAUGCAGAGGUGCGACAGGUUGAUGCAGGUCUUGCAUGCUCCCUCACGGGAGGCCAAUUGAGGGCUUUUUAUGACUCUACAUUGACAGGUCCCAGGCCCGCACAUUUCCCGACCGCCGUUGCGUGGGAUCGAGUGAACGGAUGUAGCUACUGGGUCAGGCUCUGCCUCCCUCGACAACGACCGGAUCAUCAAGGACGUUGUCGGGGGGGGGUAGGUGGCCUUGUUUCCGGUAAGGUCCCUGAGGCACGAUGCUCAGGACCCCCCCCCCCUCUAACGUUCGAGCGGCUUUACGUCACUAGGAUCCAGUCCCGCACAUUUUCCGACCGCCGUGGCAUGGGACCGAGUGAAUGAAUGUAGCCAUGGGGUCAGGCCCUACCUCCCACAACAAUGACCGGAUCACCAAAGGACGAUGUUGGGGGCGGCAGGUGGCCUUGUGACCGGUAAGGCUCCUGAGGUGCCAUGCUCCGGAGCCCCCUUUUGACAUUCAAGCGGCUCUGCGUCGUCAGGACCCGGUCCCGCACAUUUCCCGACCGCCACUGCUUGCGACCGAAUGAACGAUCGCAGCUACGGGGUCAGGCCCUGCCACUCCUGAUAACGACCGGAUCACCAAGGACGAUAUCAAGGGAGGCAAGUGGCCUUGUGAGCGGUAAGAACCCUGGAGCGCCAUGCUCUGGAGUCCCCUGGACGCUCAAGCGACUCUGAUUUUAUCCUAUCGAUAGUGAACCUGAGGAGCCCUGGGGAUCCUCAAUCCCCACGUUGGGUCGAUGUGUAGCAGCAGGUGCCCCUGAGCGAGGAAGGUGGAUUGCUGAAGGAUGCAAGCAAGGCAGUGUGUCAGAUCGCCAAGUGGGUGCAAUGGAAAUUGUAAAGGAUUGGGCAAACGGUACGACAUGCAGAAGCAUGCCCCGAAUAGUUGAACUCCCUGCAGUCAACAGACACUUCUGAAGGCAAUAAAUCCAAAAAAAUUACCUCGAAUGGCCCCUUGCGCCUAAGGAGCGCCUCGCCAGGCCUGGCCCCCAACGCCCAUUCCUCCAUCGUGGUCGUCGCGGGUGAUCCGUGCCACUUGCGUCUCGUCGCGACAUUCGACUCGUCCUCCUGAGGCCCGUGGGGUUGGCCUCACGUAGGCCUUCCACGAGGAGGGCGGCUAGCGCCGCGCCCCAUGGCUUGAGGGGCCCUCCCUGCCUACGCCUCUUGGGCCCGACUCUAGGAGGAGCCCCCAAACACUCCUCACUCCUGAGGAGGAUAGGCGCGCGGAGGGGACCCCCGAAGCUCUUCCACGUCGGGAGGGUCAGGUAGUGCUGCAUACUCCAGCACGUACGGCUCCAUGUAGUCGCUCGACCGUCCCCCGUGGCCGGUCAGCAGUGCGACGGUGGUGGUCCCCCUUGGUGGUGGAGGAGGGUCUCCCCGAAUGUAUUGCUCGUAGUUCUUCCUGCGAAAGGCCUUCGUGCGAAGUCGCUUGUUCCGGAUGCUGUCGCUGGCUAGUCCCGGUGUCGCCCGGUGCUGGCUCCCUCCUUGGUGUCCUGCCAUGUCUCUGCUAUCGUAGUUCGUCCGUGCCAUCGCCUCCGCCCUCUGUUGGCUAUGCCGGACGGAGCGCUCCUGUCAAGCCGCCCCAGGCUGUCAAGGACCGACUUGGUCUUGGUGAUGCGCGCUAGCGUGUGCGUCGGUCGUCCCGCCGUUCUCCUCGCAUCCCUGAUGGUUGUCGAAGUGGUGUGCCUCGGGGCCGGUCGCUUGGCGUCUAGAGAAGGUGGAGGGCAGUGCAAAGCGCAUCUCUCUAAGCCCUGCCCAGGGCGGGUAGGGCCCCGAACCACGCAGGUACGGGGACCGGCGCGGUGCGAGCCCCCGGCGCCCGGCGUAUGUUGCCUUGAGGAUGUGCCGGGUUGGAUGUUCUUCUGGGCGAUGGCGAUCAUCUCCAUGAUGUGGUCCGCCCAGGCGUCAAAGCCCCCUGGUGUCGGUCAUUGGCGGAGCAUCUCUCUUGACUUCUGCAACGCGUCGUGUGCGGCGAGGUCUCCCAAGAUGAUGUGGCGCACUGCGGGUGCCUGGGCCGCCGCCCAGCCACCGUGCGCCUGG